UUAUAUAAAAAUCUAAAAAUCCCAAAUGAUGCAAAUCCAUCUAAGUUGGAAUAGCACGGCAUACGAUACACUUUUUUUUUAUUUUUUUGAGCCGGUAAUAUUGUCAAAUUACAAACAUAUCGAUCUAAAUCCAACAUUGCCUCAAGAAAUGGUAAUAGUUGAAUAUGAAUGCCGAAGCCACCCCUAACGGAGAACUGUUGUGCCAGUCAGAACGAUUUGGCAUAAUCGAUAAGCCCAUGUUGGUUGUAUCUUUCAUGCUGAUAAAUUCGUGUCCUCUAUACCUAAUGUACAAGAUAUGUCGAAUGACAUUUUGACAGAUAUCAUGUCAAUGAUACAACAAUCUUGUUCUCAACUUGAAUUGAAACUUCAACUAGCAUUCAUAGAAAUGCUAGCUGCAGUGUACAAAAGUUAUCGAUUUUUCGGUCUUUCCACUAAUCCACCGCACUUCGAGUUCUGCGUUUGUUGCGGCUAGCACCAGCCUGUUGUCACGGACAAAAUAUUUUCUGCUGGCUUCUCCUUGACAGUGGCCCAACUUCGCUAGCGGAGCGGGUCGUUAAAGUGACCCGAACCCAACCCACUAUGGAGAGAUGAGGGGUUUUGUAACUUCUCCCAUCAAUGAUGGAAAUUCAAGGGUUAUGAAACUCCAUGGGGUGACUCUUAGGCUUUUGGCUCAUUAUGAGGGUGAGUUAAUGUGUCUCAUAAUGAGAGAGUUAGUAUGUGUCUAGAUUCAUUACAUCUAGGAGCUUAUAAGUAGUGGGGUUUGGUUAAGGUCAAAACACACAAGAGAGAGUGUGUAUGUGUGGAUUGUAAUUCUCAUUUCUAAGUAGUGUAUUACUUAGUUUUUUGAGAGAACCUCUGUCUCUUUCUCUUUGUCAUUUUCUUUGCAUACUUAAUCGUAGGGCGCGAAGGUCCAGGCUAACAAUAGGGGCGAAGGUUUGCCCAUCUUCGAGCAGGAAGGCGGGCGCCGCACGGACUUUACGAACAGAACCGCUAAGGUCGCGACACUGUGCUGCUUAUCGAGAUCCCUCUCGUGUCCAAUAAGAUCAUACCAUUCGUAUCAAUGCGAAGCGUGCUGAAAAAUACGUCGGCACAUUCUGUGCCAAUAGUACGACAAUUCUCUCCCGCAACUUAAAUGGAACUGCCGAAUAGCACACAGAGCGGCGCACAGAUAUACACACACAUGCACAGAGUGCAUGUAAAAACAUAUUCGGGCAGCUGAGAGGGAAAGAGGUCGGCCGUUUUUUCUUGUCUUCCCACUCACCCGCCGCGUUUUACGCGAUCGCAUUCCCCGUCAGCCACCCCAUCCCGCGCCGUCAUUUCCUCCCACGCCUUCCCCCGCACGAGCUCGUCCUCCGUGUAACGGUUACGUAUCACGCCUCUAGUACAUGUGGGCUCCACUUGUCAGUCUCACAACUUGUGAUAUGCAACCGUUACACCGAAGGAUGCUCGCCCUCUCCGGCUGAGUUGCGUUCCCAUUAAUUUUUUGCUUUUUUGAAUAAUUUAAUUUAAAUAUUUAUAAUUAAAGCAAUUGUUACGCCGUGGCCUGCUGAGUGGACGAACCCACCACCGUCAAAAAUUACUUUUUCAAUUUUUUAUAUUUUUUUUUUAACCGUCAAAAUCACUUUUUAUUGUGCGAGAUUACCUGAAGCAAAUUUUGAAAUACACCCCUUAGUUUUUUUUUACUCUCUUCAAAUUCCUUUUUUUUUUAAAAUUAGCCAUUAAUCAACUCAGUAUUAUUCGGUAAAAAGUAAAUAAUUAAGAAAAAAAAGUUAAUUUGAAAAUAGCGUGUAGUUGAGGGGCUUUAUCAUACAAAUUUUUCAUGUUUCUUUUCAUCUACCGGAGUCGGGUUCGGAUCAGAAGCUCCAAAACGAUCCACGUGGAGAGGGUCAGUUUCGACCGUCCGAUUCGUGUCUCGUGACGGGUCGAUCCAAAUCCCCGGGCCCACGCUUGUCGACCCGUAAAUCCUACGUGUCGGAUCGCCAUAAGAUUGCACAAGAGCCUCGGCCGUUUCCCUGAUGGCAUUUUCGCAAUUAGAGUCCGAAUUUCGGGCAUUUCGUAAAUUUCGUGCUCAGUAACGAAACCCACCACCCACGCUCUCGCUAUUUAAACGCCCCGAGUACUCCAAAUCCCCAAAUUCCAAGGAAAGAGAAAAUGGCUUCGAGAACCCUCUUCUUCUCCUUCUUCGUCUUCGUCCUCCUCCUCCCCGAGUUCGAAGCAUCGAUUACGUCAGCCCUAGGCGAGGGGAGGAGGAGCUCGACGUCGUCGUCGUCGUCCUCGUCUCCGGCGCCGGGGCCGCGGAACUCGACGGCGUUCAUCCGCGCGAGCUGCGGCGCGACGCUGUACCCGCGGCUCUGCUACGCGUCGCUCUCGACCUACGCGGACUCGGUCGCGGAGAGCCCCGUCGCGCUCGCGCGCCUCGCCUCGAACGUCACCGCCGCGCGCCUCCGCGCCCUCUCCGCCCGAGUCGCCGCCCUCCGCCGCCGCCGCGCCGCGCCGCCUCCUCGGGAGGCCGCGGCGCUGCGCGACUGCUGCGAGUCGGCGGGCGACGCCGCCGACCUCGCGCGCCGCGCCGGGGCGGAGCUCGCGCGUCUCGACGCCGGCGCGGCGGCGGCGGCGGCGGCGGGGUCGGGGGCGGCUUGGAGGGUCGCGAACGCGCAGACGUGGCUGAGCGCCGCGCUCACGAACGAGGACACUUGCGCGGACGGGUUCGACGCGGUGGCGCCGGGCCCCGGCUCGGCGAAGGGCGAGGUGCUCGCGCGCGUGCGCAGGGUCAAGCAGUACACCAGCAACGCCCUCGCCCUCGUCAACACCCUCGUCGCCGCCACCCACGGCCCCUGAGAUCGCAUCGCAUCGCAUCCCAUCCAUCCUUCCAUCGCUCUCCCCCGUCUGAUCUUAUCUCAACGGUUCGAUCGCCCUUAUACAUUCCGUAAUAAUUAAUGCUAAUUAAGGUAGUGUUGUUGAUACGAAAAUCGAUAUUCGAUAGUGAGUGUAUGGAUAGGGGAAAUGUUUCUCUUUUCCCAUGUUAUAUAUAUAUAUCUGAUGUAAGAGCUCUUUAAACAACUCGUCUUGUAGCUUUUUUUUUUUUUUUUUUUUUAAUCUUCUUUUUUCUUAUAUAUUUACUCUUUUUCUAUAGAUAAAAAAGCAAGCACUCAGAAUUUAUAUACAUAUAUAUACGUAGAGCUCACGAUUAUAAACGAUUUGUACGGCAAAAAAUUUUGCCUAUUAAACUGUACACAAUUCGAAUCCCGCAAUUACCGCCGUUGAACUUUAGUACUUUGAUUGUUAUGUUAGAUUUUGUUAUGUGGUGCUAUUUCAUGGCGUUUGUUUCAACAUUAUUGCAUAGAUGCAUGUACGACAUGAAUUUAUUGAGAUCGAGGUUUUUUAUCAUAGUAUUUUUUAGGGUUUUAGGGAUAAUUGGUCGCAACUUUUAGAAUUACACUUUUUCGAUCCUAGGUUAAUUUAUUAUUUUUCAAAAUUAUUUUGUUUUAUUUUUAGUCAAUUUAGAAAAGAGAAGGUGGAUCAACCUAAGAAUAAGAAGAUAAGAGAUCGAAUUCGGUUCAACACUAGGACUAGAAUGUUCUUUAUGUAACAUUAGGCUGCGUUUGGUUUGGUUCGGUUAUAACUAAAAAUUGCUUAUCCAGGUACAGGUAAAAUUUAAGAUAUAAACAGGAAUUAGAUCAAUUUUGCGUUUGGAUGAAAAUUAUAUUAUUUCUAGGAAUAAGGUAAGUAAUUGGAUGGUUAGGAACAAAAAGAAUAAAAGUUAUAAUUUUAAAUUAAAAUUAUUUUAUCUAAUUAAUUAACAUCAAAAUAUUACUUUAAAAAUAAAUUAAUAUUAAUAAUUAUAAAUAAUAAAUUAUUUAAAUAAUAAUAAAUUAUAAAUAAAUAUAGAUUAUAAAUUAUAAAUUAAUUAAUAAAAAAUUAAUUAGAUAAUAAAUUAUAAAUAAAAAAUUAUUAAUAAUUAUAAAUUUUAAAUUAUAAAUUAAUUAAUAAUUAAUUAAUUAAUUAUAAAAUAAUAAACUAAUUAUUUAUUUAUUUUAUUAUUUAAGUAAUAAAUAAUGAUUUAAAUAUAUUAAUUAAAUUAAUUAAUUAUUUAAUAUCAUAAUUAAAAUUAUUUUUAGACUUUAAUUAAUCUUGUUCUCACUUGAAAACAAACUUGUUUUAGAAAAAAGAUGGAACGGCAGUUCCAGUCUUAUACCGGUUUAUUCCAGAAAUUCGAAAACUACUGUUCUCAAGUACUAAACGGAUCGUUUGGAAACAAAGGGAGGAACAAGGACUUAUUCCCCCUUUGUUCUCCAAUCAAACGCUACCAAAUAGAACCGGAGAGGUGGGCCCACUUUCAAGAAUAAAGAUGGUAUGUUCCGUGUACAAAUUAUUUAGGAUUAAUAGAUAACUAUAUAUUAUAAUUAUAAAUAACUUUAUUUUUUGAUACAUUUAAUUAUAAAAAAUUGACAACAAAUACUAUUAAUUAUAGAAAAGUAGUGAGGCCUCGGUAUGCAGUUAUUCUUAAGAAACUAUCAUCUGUAAUAUGUCCAACGUGUACAAGCUUUGGCUGGUUACUUAAACUCAAGUCUCUGAAUCAUGCGGAAAACGACUGUGUCACAUUUAUACCAUAUCAUAAAUAAUUAGUCCAUCACCUUUUUUUUUUUUAAGAGAAAAGCAUAAUAAAAUUUUUUUUAAUAACCAUAAUGGAAUGGGUCCAAAAGAAAUAAUAUAAUUGGUUUUGAAAACACCAUAUUAGGAAUAUAGCCGUACAUUCUUGUUAAGAGCCAAACGUCCGGAUCCUUGAUCUAAUCAAAAAUCUCUCUCGAAAAGCAUGCAGGAAUGCGGAACGGUUGUGAAUAGUGAUUCUCGAAGUUUGCGUCAUUCGACUGGAUCAAGCGAUUCGGCUGAUGAGGGAUCGGAUCAGCCGAGUUCGAAAAUCUUUACUGUAGAUUCAAUUCGGCUGGAUAAACCGAAUUGAUAAAAUGCACAGAGUUUUGGGUUGGCUGAUGAGCAAAAUAGAUGGAAUACACAGUGACUGAUCGGCUGAAAGAGCCAAAUGCCUUUAUAUAUAUAUUAAAAUGAAGUUGGGAAUUCAUACAAAACAGAGUGUGCCCGAAGGACAUACAGACUCUGAAAAUCUAGAUUACAACAGAGUUUGCCCGUGGGGCAUACAAACUUCAGAUAUCUAACUUAAAAACUACUUCUAGAAAAGACGGUAAAUGCGGAUAAAAAAGAUUACAUGUAGACUACUCCUAAAAAAGCGAUAAAUGUAGGAAAGAAAAGUAUUGAAAAUGCGGUGGUCUUCUCAUUCAGGGGAGAGAAAGAACCCUACUACAGGCUUCAAAGUUACUACUUGUAAUAUCUUAUCAGCCAUAUUAUUGGUUGGUUAUAGUAGUAGAGAAAGUGAUGUAGCCAUGAUCAUGAAAGUUACGCCACAUUUCUUAUGAAAGUUACGCCCCACUUCUCAAACAUUCCCGCCUAAACGCUCUUGACCUUCAGGCGUCUUAUUGCCGACUCCUGAUGUACCACGUGUCUUUAUUUUUUUGACUCAUACGUGGAUUAGGUCGGCACGUUAAUUUUUUGGUAUCAACAAUCCUAGAAUUUUUUUUUUGUAAAUUAGGGCCCUUGUAGGGCAUUAAUUUUGGGGUUAAUUACACCAUUUUCCCCCAACCUCUGUUCAAUGUUUAAAUAUUUUGCGAUAAUUAUUCACGCAGUGGUCCAGUGGAAGUCAAUCUUAAAGUUAGGCUCAAUUACACUUUUGUUCCCCAAACUUUCAAGAGAGUGAUAUUAUAGUCCUCCCUUUAAGUUGUUUAAAUUUUUUGUUCAAACUUUUUAGAUUGUUGUAAUCAAGCUCAUGAUCGUAUUAAGUUGAUUAAAUAGUAAUGUAUUGCAAAUGCCAUAGUGAUGUGAUAAUGCAAUGAUUAACAAUAUGACAAAUGACUAAAUACAACAUUAUUGUUAUAGAACAUCAUUGUUAUACAACCAUAUAUCAGCAUUUAGUCAAUUAAUUUAGACUAUGAGACUAAACUGUAAUAAUUCAAAAAUUCAAAAAAAAAAUUCUAUGGAAGUUUGAGAACCAUAAUAUCACUUGCAUCAUAGUUUGAAAAGCAGAAGUAUGAUUUGUUCUUAAAUUUACAGGGAAAGAAUAAUUUUUGGCUUGCAUUUUCACGACAAUGUUAGACACUUUUUUAGGGCGCAAAAUUCAAGUACGAACUGUGAAGGUCUCACUUCUCAGGAUCCAAGAAGAGUUUUGUGUUGUUGAGACAGUUUCCACUGAUUUUUUUUUUUUUUCCCCUCUCCAGUUGAUGAUGUGAAAAGUAUUAUGUGUGGCCUACUAACCUCAGAAGAUGUUAGCUAGGCAAAUUUAUUUGGUUUUAUGCAUUUCAAACUACAACUUUGGAUUAAAACACAGGCAUGUUCAAGAAGUUUGUUUAUUUCGCUGUAAUUGCAAUCAAAAUUAGACUUGUUGAAAAAGGCUCCACUUCGAUCUAUAUCCAAAUUGAAUAAAGUUGUAAAUUUGGGAGAGUAAUCUCACCUGCCUAGUCAUCUGCUAAAGAAAAAGAGGUAAACUUCAUAUACCACCCCCGUGUAUGCACUUUCUCACUUUAGUAUCUUGUGGUUUAAAGUGCAGCAAGUUAGUAUUCUAUGGUUUCAUUUUUAUCUUGUCAUCAGCUUUCCCGUUAAUAUUUCAUUAAAUUGUAUGCAAAAAAUUUCAAAUACUCCACCUAGAUUUAUCGAAUAUUCACUUUAGUAUCUUUUAGUUUUAACUUUUUUAUUGAUUUGACGAAAAAAAUUAGUAGAUUCUGUAAUAAAAAGAUAAAACUAAAACAUAGGAUACUAAAUUGAUACAUUUAAAAGUUAGAAAGUGUGAAACCACAGGAGUGGUAUUUAAAGUUUUUCCAAAAAAAAAGCUUUUUCCUCUUGAUCACUCGUAUAGAAAACAUGAAGAGUAAAUGCAGCAUUCAAUUACAACCGGUCAAGUAAAUGUUAUUUUGUUUAUGGAUUAAUUUCAUACAUAUUUCUGCAAACAUAGUAAAUGACAAAUAUAUCUCUACAAAUAUAUUUUUCUGGUUUGUUAUCGUUAGUGAACCGUUUAUAUUUUCAAUUUUGGCAUCACAAAUAUAUCCUUCCAAAAGCUAUACUAGUAUAAUAUAAAAGGGUAAAAAUAUUAAAAACUGAUUAGGGUUAAACCAGAGGAACAUAUUUGUAGGGAUAUAUUUGUUAUUUAAUCUAUGGUUAACUAACUUUUUUCUAACGAAUUCUAACGGCAGAGACAUAUUUGAAAAUAUCAGGACUUUUGUAGGAACAAUAUAUGAAAGUUGAAUUUUGUAGAGAUAUAUUUAUUAUUCACUAUAUUUGUAAGGACAUGCAUGAAAUUAACCUUUUUUUUUUAUUGUAACACUCUAAUUACAAACUAUCAAGCUAGUUAACUGUAAAUGUAACUACUACUUGUCCAAUUGCAUGUACAUCUCGUUACGUUCUAUUUGCAGCCAACGGUUGUACUCUAAAAAGAAACUUAAGCUGUUGGAGAACAGUGUUUAUAUAUUUUUAUAUUUAAUACUCUCCCUCGCAUUUGGGUCGAGACUUUUCGCUAGACUCAUGAUGUAAACUUGAAUUAAAUAGAAGAAAAAUUAAUAAUGUUAGGAUCCUGACGUGACUCGAACUCUGAACCUUUUGAUACCAUGUAAAAUAAACAUUGUUUUCUAUAAACUUAGACUGUUAGAGAAUGGUAUUUAUAUUAUUUUAUAUUUAACACAGCUAUAUUUAGCUUAAUGGCCUCUAAAAUGGUUAAUUAGAAACAACCAUCAACCCUUAUGGUAGCGAUAAUCAUCAAGACAUUUUGCUUCUCAAAUAUUAAUUUAUUAUAAUUCUUUAUUUAGAUUUUUCAAAUUAUUGCAAUUAAGCCUCAUAAUCAGUUUAGUUGACCAAAUAUUGAUCUAUUGGUAAUAUAAAAGUGGUAUAGUAGUAUUAUCUUUGAUAACAUGAUAAUGACUAAAAUAUCACACCACUUGCACAUCAACGACGUAUUAAAAUUUCGUCAACUAAAUUGAGCUGUGGGACUUGACUAUAGUAUGCUAUAAAGUCCGAGUCAAAAUUUACAAUAAAUUAAAAUUUGACAACUAAAGUGUUAUGAACCUUAGGGUGCGUUUGGUUCGCACUAUCUUUUUAAGAUUUCUAGUAAUUCAAUAGGAAUAAAAAAAAUGACAGUAUUUGGCUAAACGCACUAAGUAAUUUAGUUGGUAAUAUUGGAUUUACUUGGGAAUGAGAUUCCUCCCAAAGUACUAAUCUCAUUCCUUUGAGGGAUGGUGGGUAUCCUUAUACUAAUGGAUUGGGAUAAUUAUAAUAUGCUAAUCUCUUUCUUUCUUCCUACCCGCCGGCUAGUUAGUAUUAUUUUUCUUUACACUCCAACCUCAUCUCUCUCUAAACUUAUCUUUUUCUCUCCAAACUUCAACUUUUUUUCUCUCUCUAAACUAAGCUCUCUUCCCCUCUUUUUCUAAAAUCUCAACUCUCUCCCUCUAAUCUCGACUCUAUUUCUCUUCCUAUUUCUUCAAUUAUGUUAUCUCUCUCUAACCCAUGUUCUCUCUCUUUUUUUUCUAAAAAAAUUGUUGAAAUUUUUUUUAGCAUUAUCUAAAAUUAAUUAAAGAAAUAAAUAAAUUAAUUGUAUUUUUUUUUGUAAUCUUAAAUAACAUAACUAAAUAAUAUGACUGUACGAACCAAACACAGGAAUGCCACAUUCUUAAUAAUAGUGUGAGAUCUCUGGUGUUCAGCAGUAAAGGCUUGUCGACAGCUCUGGAGAGUGUCGGGACAAGUCUGAGUGGCGUUGGCGCGAAAUAGACGCAAAAUAGACUCUGUGCGACGCGAGAGCAGCAUUUAGCAACAAAAUCUGCAAAUAGCUGAUUUUUUACUUGCUGUACCAGUACAGCCAUCAUGGUGUACCGGUACACUGCACAGGCUACGCGCAAACUGCUCUUGGGUUGGCUUCUUGUAUCGGUACGCCAGGGUAGGUAGGAGGUUUUUUUGGUCUUUUUCCACCUCGUUCGUGGCACCCUUUCCCUCUCUCUCUAUUUAGGCUUGUGUAGAGCUGAGAGAGAGAGAGUUUUCACUGUCCCUCUUCUCCUCUCUCUCUAGCUUGGACCGUGGGCGAGGAGGAGCUCGGGUGGAGUUCGUUUGUCGUCGACGUCGCGCCGCGGUGCCAUUUGAGUGUGUUUUCUUCGUCGUGGUGCUGCGAGGAGGCAGGGUGAGCGUGGUUUUCGCCGUCCUCGACGUUGGGCAGAUUCCUGAGAUGUUUUCGAGGUAAGUGAUCCAUCGAAAUCACUUCAAUUACUUCAAGCUCCAUCAAUUUCGGACUAGGAUGCUGUUUCGCAGAUUUCCGCGUCGACCGUAGGCGUUUCGGCUCGUACGCGACGUAGGAGAGUCAGAUUGCGAUGAAACUUGGUUCGUUGGAUUCAGGACUUCGAGACGAAGCCCAAGAUUGCAGGAUUUGGUGAAGGUUAGCUUGGUCGAACCUUUAUUUUACUCUGCUGUUGCUAUACGUGGACAAAAUUGAUGGAUUUUGAUUGUAGAGCUUGGAGUUAGCUCGAUUUCUGGAUUUGGAGGACUUCGGUUGAUCCAGCAGGUUGUUCCGCAGCUGAGGGGGUUUUUUGCUGCCAGGGAUUAGCUCUCGAGGUGGGUUUUCAUCGGGUUUACUUCUAAGUAAAGAUUAGUAAUCAUGUAUAGUUUCCGAUUGUUUAUACUUCGUACUCGCUUAAAUUCAUUGAGUAGCAUAUUGGCUGAAAUCUGAAUUUGAAGCAUGUGUGGAAUCUAGUUACACUAUACAUGUUGGACAUGGAAAUUUAAUUAGAAGAAAACCAGCGAUUUGGACCUGUCACCUGUUUACACUAUCUGAUUUAGCUCUAGGAGCCGUUGAAAUUUUGUAUCGUCGCAGUAUCGAGGCGACAGGUACCCCAGGUAGUUUAGCUUUCAAUUACGCUCGUGCUGGGAUACCGAGUGUAUUUUUACAGUAGCGUUUAGGCUGUUCCGGACUGUUGGGUGCCGUCGGGGUUGACGGUGGACCCAUAUCGCCAUUUUGGCGUCGGAUUGUGCCGAAGGCACGUGACUGUUGGUUGUUAGACCAGUUAGUGUCGGUUACUUGGACUUUGGCUUGAAAGAGCCUGAUUUAGCUCGACACAGAUACGCUGCAUACUCGGUUGGGUAGCUCCCACGAGUGCCACUCCGGAGACGGGCGCUGUGCUUUCGCGUUGGUGUCGUGCAUACCGAUUACACUUGCUCUCCACGGACUGGUUAGUGUGGAGGUAGUUGGAUAGUCUCAACUGGGCGGGACGGGUGUGUUCACAGUCCCUGGGGCGGGUAUGUUUACAGUCCCUAAAGAGAUUGGGUCAGAAUUGACAUUUCUACAGUAGGUUAGCUUAGAGCAUGAUAGUGUAAUAAAUGGUAGCUGUAGAUUUUAUUCCGGCAUUUAUUAUUACCUUUGCUCCCUUCUGUAGACUUAGUGGGUGGACCGAUAAUGUUGAGGGCGGUACCCACUGAGGACUACUUGUUUUACAGUAGUUCUCACGCCCUAUUGUUAUCCCGUUUUUGUAGAGCCAUCGUCUUCGGCUGCUGCUGUUGCUGAUAAGGAUCGAGGCAAGGGCGUCGCGAGUUAGAGCCCUACCCGACGAGCCAAGCUAGAGGUGCCCCUACAGCAGGUAGUUGUUUUGUUGGAGUUUAUGUACAUACUUAUAUUUAACUCGCUAGUGCGAGUAGUCUUGUACUUUGGAUUUUGGCGUAUGUAUAUGGAACUCGGUUUGUUUUAUUUCUGGUUCUUCUAGCAGCUCUAUACUACUGUUGUAGUAUUGUAUGAUUUACAGGUACAGCUAUCGCUUCGUAUACAGGAAAAAUUUCUUUGUAUACGGUGUAUUUUUCGGCGUGUCCGGAGAACGUGUAAUCCGGGGCGUGACAAAUAGGAUGAAUAGGAAUAAGAUUUUUGGACAUCUUUUUUUUCCUGGUAAUUUUUCAUAGUGCGAACCAAACGCGCCCUUAUAGUUUAAUAAGGAUCAAAACUGUAAUUUAGCCUAGUAUGAAUUCUUAUGGAGCCUUAGCGUGGAGAAAUUCUACACUGUCACACUUGUACCACGUCAUCAAUAACAAGUAAAUCACAUUUCUUCUUUUCAAACAAAAGCAUAAUAAAAAUAUUUUUUUAUAAUCAUGAUGGGACAUAUAUCUCUAAAAGGAGAUAUUUGGUUGAUUUGUUAUGCUACGUCACCAAUAUACCCGUUGCAUUCUAGAAUUUUUACUUAGCCUGAGGGCCUAAGUUCCCGUUUAGUAUUGAUGGUUACUAGUGUAAUGACCCGCGCUUCGCGGCGGGAGGUCUUAAUAUUGAGAGCUAAUAAUAUGACUGUAAUUAUAUUUAUUUAUUACAAAACAUACAGAUAUAUAUAACAUUCACAUUAUGUAAGAUAACUAAAUAUAUACUAUAGAUUAUCUAAUAUGAUGUAAUGUCUUUGAUAAUGCAAAUAUAAUUGAUAAAACAGUUCUUAAAUCAUUAUGGCCUAUCGGUUCCACUUGAUUUCUUGCGGGUGUUAACUUUGCUUGUUCCUUCUCCAGUUUUCGAACUGCGUAAGUAUGAACAAUAUUUCACAUAUAUAUAUNNNNNNNNNNNNNNNNNNNNNNNNNNNNNNNNNNNNNNNNNNNNNNNNNNNNNNNNNNNNNNAUAUAUAUAUAUAUAUAUAUAGAGAGUCCGGCUGCUAUGGUAUUAAUAGCACGAAGCACUUGGUGCUACUAAGUUUUCGCCGUUAGAUCUACCCUUUUGAUCAUUUUCAUCCGUUAAAUCAUACUAUUCAACCAACCACCCACUCAACCCUAGGAAGCCUACAUCAUUCUAACCGCAUAUCUUUUAAUUCAAUGGCCAAAAACUUGGUAGCACCAAUGACUUGGUGCUAUUAAUAGCAUAGUAGCCUAGUUCUAUAUAUAUAUAUAUAUAUAUAUAUAUAUAUCUUAAUAUUAUAUAUUAUAUAUAUAUAUAUAUUAUAUAUAUAGAGAUAUGUUCAUAGAUGCCUUCAGGGAUUAUUAUUUCAUCAAUGCCCUUCUAAAACGAUAAUAUCAUGAAUGCCUCCAAUAUAUCAAAAAAUUAUCUAAAUACCUUCACUAGUUAAGUUCGGUCAAAGUCCCUUAAAAUGAGUUAUAUUUUUAAAAUGCCAUUUUACCCUUUAUCUCCCAUUACAGUAGAAUAUAAUAGAUAUUUCAAGACAGUUUCUAUUAAAACUAAAUUUAAUUAUUAUAUUACUAUAUUAAAUUAAAUUAUUAAUAUAUAUAAUAUUAAAAAUAUAUAAAAUUGUAUUUUAAUAUAGUAUGUUUUUAUAUUUUUUGGUUUUGUUUUCUGCCUUCGGAUUCGGUUUCAAGUUGUGUUUAAUAUAAUCAAACCAUAAUUGAGUUUGAAUAUAAUGUGAUUUAUUUUUUUUUGUAACUUUAACUGAAAACUACCGUACUCAGUAUCGAUUAAGCUCACCCCAUUCAAAAUCGAGUUCAAAUAAAAUUGUGUACACUAUAUCAAUUCACAUUCCUAAUCAGUAAUAGAUAAUUUUGAAAUAAAAUAGAAAUUUAAUUUUUUCCUAUUAAUAAAAAAUUAAAUCAAAUAACAAUAUGCAUGUAUUUUUUGUCGACUAAAAAAAAGAAGGUUUUUCGUUCGUAGGCUAAAUAUAUUAUAUUUAGUUUUUAAUGUAUUUAUGGAGAAAUUAUUGAAAAUAAUUUUUGGUUAAAAAUUUUUAAGCUUCCAAUAUUAAAAAAAGAUAGGAAAAAUCUCAACUUUUAUUUUAUUUAAAUUUUUAUACAUAGUUAUUUACUUGCCAAUUUAAUAAGAGCACUUAGAUUGGUAAAAUCAUCAAAAAAUUUGAUAAAUCUCAUUUUCAUACACUAAAAUUAGUUAAUUUUUUAAAAAACUAAAGUUAAUGGCUUUCAACUAAAUAAUAAAAGUUUGAGGGAGCAGUUUCAAAAUGGCAUAUAGUUGAGAGGUCUCCAUACAUUUUUUGCUUAGGCAUAGGUUGAGAGCAAUAGGUCAUUUUAAAAUUAACCAUCUUUAACUCUUUUAAAACUAUAGUAAAUAAGACAACUGAUGGUAGGGGUAUUGGUGAUAAUUUUAAGUGUUAUAGGGGAUAUGUGAUAUUUUAAACUUUAUGGGGCAUAUAUGAUAUUUUAAACUUUGGAGGGGGUAUCUAUGAAAUUCCCCCAUAUAUAUAUAUAUAUAUUAUAUAUAUAUUUAUAUUAUAUAUAUGUGUGGCAUAAGAAAUACAAAUAAUAUUUUAAAAAUAUUAUAUUUAUAAACAUGGUUUUUCGCUAAGCAGAUGUUUCAAUAGGCAAAACACUAUCGUUGUCGUGACAAAAUACUGCAGUCAACUAAUUUUUUUUUUUGAACAGGCAGAACAUUAAUUAUUAGAUUUUUUUCCUACAAACAGAACAUUAAUUUAUAAUCAGUUCUUAACUUGUUUAUUAAUCAUGCCUUGAUUGGCUUUCGGUAUGAUUAUAUUCACCAAUAGCAUUUUCCACUUGAGCACUAUUUUUAACAGGUAUAAUAAGUUGAUUUUCAGAAGCGGCCACACUAUUAAAUUCCUUUGCAAUAUGAUUAUUCUAAAUCUCCUCUUUUGAUUCUAAUUAUACUAUGAAUUAUUUGUAAAUUGUUUUUUACUUUGCUAACUCCAAUAAAAUAGUAUCUCACGCACAACAUAAAUUUUUCUCUUACAAAAUUUUUCAUACUACACAGCAUAUUCCUUGCCCUCUUGCUUUUUUUCUUAACUUUCUCUAUAUAUAGCAAUAUUGUUUAACAUCAUACACAGGGUUCAUGAAACAAAAAAUUGCAUAGUACAUUGAAUAUUUUUUGUACUUUUGCUAUCUUUCUUAUUAUUACAAUGCAUGCAUCUUCCCCCCAACUCUUUCUACUCAUAGCCCAUGUGAGUCAAUACAUGCCACUUGAACAUAGCCCAUGUGAGUCCAUGUAAGGGAGAGAGAACAUGUGAGGGAGAGAGAGAAAAUCCACCAUGUCGCUCGACGGAGAAACGGCAUUUGAUUUCAACUUUAGUAUAGAGUUUAAUGUGACUUUAUUGUGCCAAAAAGAGUUAUGGCAAAAGUACAUAAUAUUGAUAGUCAUGUGAAUUUAUUGCGGCAAAAAGAGUUAUGACAAAAGGAUAUGUAAAUACUUUAUUUGUUUUAUAUAAAACUACAACAAUUAUAUUAUAACCAGAUAUUUGUGAUCUAUUGUGGUCUAUAUAACUUGACAUUAUAUAUAAAAAGGAAAAAUUAAGGCUCUUUUUUGGAUGUAGGAAUGUACAAUUGGGUAAUAUUCUAUUUGGUACGAAAAUCUUUUAUUAUGAUUGAAAUCUAAAACUGCAAUUAAUGUCAGCAAUAAAAUAAAAUAUUUAUCUUUCAAAUCGUACUUCCAAAAUAAGAUAAAUCAUUCUGUAGGUUAUAUAAACAAUCUUAUCAAAAUAUGAACAUCAAAAUUAUUUAAGAAACAAAAAUCAAACCGUAUAUAUUAAUUACACAAAAAAAAUUUCAUACUGAAUAGUUUCUCAUUGAUAGCUUAUUUCAAUGCCCAAAUGAAGUCUAAAUAUUUUUAUCAUUGUACUUUCUUACCGUACGCUAGUUCAGUAAUUGUUAUUCUGAUUGCAUCCUUGAGAUUGGGAUUUAAUCUCAGCCUUUCCUUUGAAAAAAAAAAAGGCUCAUUCCCCAAACUUCUUGGGUGUUAAAAAUUGUUUAUGUACUAAAUGGUUCCCAAAGGAACCAAGAAGCAAACUCAAAAAAAAAAAAAAAAAAAAAAAAAAAAAAAAAAAAAAAAGUUAAGAUUUACUGGUGAACAAGAGACAAAAGACCCUUUUUUAAAAAUUUUUUUUGUAAUUUAAUUAAUACACUGGAGAAGAGAGUGAACACUUGUCAUAGGAUGGGAAUCUCUUGGACAGCCACAUAGCUUGCAGGGCACAUGAAGGGUUCAGGUGAUGGGCUCUAGAACCCUACCUGGAUUUGUCCUCUCAUUGAUAGAAUCAAAAUCAAGUAAAAUUAAUCUUGUAGCACCCCACAAAAAUAAAAUAAAAUAAAAGUAAAAUAAUUUAAAAGAUCUUUCUCUCCCAUGGACUUUUGCAUGAGUGUAAAAUUCAAACAAAAAUAUCAUUAGACUAAAAUGUCUUUGGUUAAGUUUAUGGUUCUCUUUUUUUUUUUUUCACCAAACUCAAAUUCCUAUACAAUUGCGAACUCUAGGAAAAAUAAACAGAACUUAUGCAAUUCUUAGCGGAUGGAAACAGAUCGAAACAGAUCAAAAGAAGAAAAAGAUUUUCUAGACUCCGCUCCAUUUCUUAGCAAAUCAGAACGAAUUCAAGUCGAUUUUAUUUUAUUAUUUUGAUUCCCACUUGCCGCUUCAUUUGAGACAGCUCGAGAUGGAAUCUCCGACAACACUAAUCCAUUUGCAUCCCUAAUUAUCUCCUUAAACCUUGAGUCUUUAAACUUUUAGUCUCGUGUUAAGUUAGAGCGCGAGAUUCUCCACGGCGAAGCAGACCACGAGCAAAAUUUUGUUGGGGCAUUAAUGAAAUAUUUUAUGUUUAGUUAUUUUACUCCUCCAAUCCUUUUUAUCUAUCAUCUUCUAUUAUGCUAUUUUAGAAUUUGACUUUUGCUUUCGGUACUUAAUAGGAGAAAAAUAAAUUAAUCAGAUUGAUUGAAUCACGACCUUUAAUUAAUUAAGUUGGAUUAAAACGUAAUUAUACUAGAAUGAACUGUUAGCCCCAUUAAAGGAAAAGCAAGAGAAAGAGGAAAAAUUGUAUGUAGACCCCUCACUUAUAGUCACUUCUCAAGUAGCCCUCGCAACUUUUAUUUUUUUUUUAAGCGAAACCUUUUCUAACUUUUAUUUUUUAUUUAAAUUUUGUAACUUGGCUAAGCUAAAGAUUCUUUUAUAUUUAAUGGUUCUAUUGUCUCCUAGUUGUUAAUUGUUCUAUUUUAUUUUAUAGAAAAGUGAUCAAACUCUUAAAUUCAAUAAAACCACUCAUAGAUGUAAUAAUUUUUAAUUUUGAUUAAUAAAAAUUAAUUUAAUUGUAAAAAAACGUAAAAGUCAAAGGAGCGGAAAUCUAAAAAAUUUAAGUAAACUAUUUCAGAACAGCGGAUAAUUCGUUCAUUUUUUUUCUCAUAGAAAAACUAUAAGAUUAAUUGCACUAUUAAUUGGUCCUUAACCUUGCAUGUUGUUUAGUCACGAUUUUUUUUUUUUUUUGGUUAUUAGAUCUCUAGCCUUUAUAUUUUAUUACAAUUAUGUUUCUUUUUCUUAAUAAUUUAUAUAAUAACUACUUUAUUAUGAUAUACAUAUAUAGCAUGGUAUUAUUUACGAAAAUAAAUAAAGUUAUUUAAUAGGCAUCUCACAUGGUUAUAGCAUGGAGCCAUUAGCAUCUUUCUAACUUACAUGUAUAUAAUUUUCAUUUCUUUAUUUAUUUUUUAUAUAAUAUGAGAUUCUAUGUUUGAUAAAUAAUAUUACGUACGGGCUUUUAAAUAAUUUUCCCAACAAAUAUUUGAUUCGCCUGAUUUUUAAGUAAUUACUCAUGUACCAAUAAAUGCACUUGAUUCCCUUGGUAUAUUAUCUAGACAUCACAUAUAUAGACAUGGAAUAGGAAAUACGAUACAAUUCGGACACGGUAACUGCUUUCAAAAAUUAGGAUACGGAGACGGGCAUAAAAAUCGCUAAUAAAAUAUAAUAUUAUUAAUAUAAUAAUAUAUAUUUGUUAUAUAUAAAAUAUUAAUUUUGACAAAAUAUUAUUAUAUUUUUCAUACGAUUGAAAGUUAGUAAAAUUUUCAUUUAUAGUUGAUAUAUUGCAAAAAGAAAAAAUUUUCACUAUACAUAAUUUAUAUAUAUUGUCAAUGAAAAAUUUUAUUCAUUCAUUAAAAAGUUAAAAUAUUUAUCAUCUUACAUUAUAUAUGUAUAAAAAAAUUAUAUAUAUAUAUAUUUAUAGAGAGAGAGAGCGAGAGAGAAAGAGAAUUGAGCUGAAUACUGUGAUAGUAUUUGCUAUUAUUUACUAUCAAGUUUUAUAUACUAUUGAUAGUAGAGGUGCCAAUGCACGUCACCAAGAAAUAAAGUUUUAAAAAUAAUUUAUUAUUUUUUUGAUUUUUCAAAGUUAAUUUAAUUUUUGAUAGUCAAAAAAAAAAAAUUUAAACCACGGCCAACUUCUCUCUCUCUCUCUCUCUCUCCUCUCUCCUCUCUCUCUCUCUCUAUAUAUAAUAUAUAUAUUAUAUAUACUAUUAUAUUGUUUAUCGCUAUAAAUCGACAUUGAACGCGUAUUUAAGAAAUGUCCACAUCGAACACAUUUCCGACACUGACAUGCGUGUGUCCGAUAUAGACACGUGAGGCUUAUAGAAGUGUCCUGAUACAUAGUAUAUUAUUCUAUAUAAAUAUAUAAAAAUAUUCUAAAUAUAUUAAAUUGUUCAAUUUUUAUAGUUUUAUGUUUCGGAUUAUAAUAUAACUAUCAACAAAGUGAGGUAUAGAUAUAAUAUCCUCUCUCAGAUGAUAUAUUAAAAAUCAGACUCAUCAGCUAUAUUUAAAAAAAUUUAUACAUUAAAUAUUUAUUAGAUAAAAUCGUACAUAACUUAUUUGAGCUAUGAAAUAUUUCGAAUCGACUACCCAAUUUUUCUAAAUUUUACUUUCACUGCCAAAUCUUUCAAUUUAUUGGGUUUGAGUCAGUCAGCAGUAUUUUGACUUUAAAAUUUAAAUUUAAUUAUUUUAAUAAAUUUAUAGUUGCAAGAAUUAUAUGAAGUACUAUACUAAUUAUAUCUGUAAGAAUAAGCAACAUAUUCAAAUUUAAAAUCAAGAUGCUGUCACUACAAGAAGAACGUGUUUUGGCGGCGACUUUUUUGUGGCGACAAGUAAUGUCGCCACCUAUGUAGAAGAUAUGGUUUAUUUUUAAUCAAUCGUUUGUUUUUAAUGGCGACAAGUUAAAUCAAUCAAUCAAUCGCUUAUUUUUAUGGUUCAGUUUGUAUGGUAUGGAGGUAAUUGAGCACUCAAAAAUUUUAUUCUGAAUAGUUAAUAAACAAAUGUUAAUUGUAAUAUUGCGUGUAUAAAGGGUGAAUGAUACUUCUUUAUAGAAUGUAUAAUAGUUGAAAUUAUUGUUCUUAUCAUAAUAUCAUCUCAUUUUAUUGAUUUUUUUGAGAAAUUAACUGAUCAGUUACAAUUUUAUCAUAAUAUCUAUGUUCUUAUCAUAAUAUCUAUGAUCCAGCUUCUGACUUUGUGCCCUACGAUUAGCUUCAGUUACAAUUUUAUCCUGAAAUUUUGAUUUAGUCCUCCAAGUUUUGUACUUGAUUGGAUAUUAAUUUAACUUCCCUCCGAGAGUAUCAGUUUUACAUUUCGUGCACUCUUUUUUUUAAAACGUAUUUAGAUUUUUAGAUAGUUAUUAUUUGGAUUAAGUUUCAUAAUUUAGGAUUUUUAGGUUACCCUGCUUGAGGUAGCUUUCCAUAUUUUGUAUUUGUGCAAUAUUGUUGUCAAGUAACCAGGGUUCUUCUUUAAUCUUGAAUGUUGCUUAUAGUGGAAAAGAUGAUAAGCUUGUCACUUUUCUGUUGCAGGUUUAAUUGUUGGAGGACUUGCUAAUAUUUCAAAUACAGAAACCAACAUUAGGUUUGCAUUGCUUAUUUCUCAUUCCAUUCAUGUUUGUAUGCAAAUGUACGACGCAAAAUGUGUGUGUUUGUGUGCAAAUUCACAUAUUGUUUGAAACAAUUAACUCUAAAUGCUUAAACUGUGUUAGCAGAUGGAAGGACCAUGUAUUUUUUAUUGUAAUAAUUGUCCCUCUUAGGUCUGGUCUCGCAACUCUUAAAACGCCUAUGUAGUGGAAUCAGGAAUGGAAGGGUGGGGUUUCAAAACUAAAAAGUGGAGUGGUCCAGCUACUUUUAUACCAUGUGAAGUAACCAAGUUCUAUCCAAGCUGAAUCUACUCAUGAAAAAUCGGCUUGUAUUUUCAUGCCCGACACAAACAUGUAUAGACUUAAGGAUGUGUGAUUUCUCGACAUCUAGUGAGAGUUUCAUAUACUUAUUAGGAAAAUGAAGUCUCAAAGUUACUCAGUUUUUUUGUUACUCUUAAUGCUCAAUAUUUGGUUACAUGAACUGAAUUAAUGUCGGUUUCUGUCUGUUAUAUAGUUCAUAGCCAACAUUGUUAUCUACGUACUUGGCCUCUUUAUUCUUAUAUUGUUUCCGUUAUCAAUUCAGGGAUCAACAAAUGUUGAAAAGCUAAUUUUUUUUUAUUUUUAUUUGCAGAUUUAUAAGAGGUCGUGACGAAUAAAAUUUUGGCAGUAUUUUGGUGAUGUAUUGAAUCAAGUUUAAGAAUUUAGACAUAUUUUGAAAAUUUUACAUUUGAUAGCAUGUGGAAAUGACAAAAAUACUAUUAUUGUGUUUUGUUUUUUGGUUGUGUUGGGUGAUUAUAUUAGAUGACAAUGCAAUGAUGCUCUAACAUGGUUCUUGUAAGACAAUUUAAGUUACUUAUUUGCCUUAUAUGAUUAUCUAUGCUCUUCUUAAUAUUUAAAGUUUGAUUCAGUCUUACUUAGUUAUGUGGAUUAAUUUUAUGAUUAAAUACUUAUAGAGAUUCAAUUAGAUUUAAUAUAUAUUGGUUCUAAGGUGUUUGAGCCAUAUUGCUUGGGUUUAAUUUUGUUUUGAGAGGAUUAAAUUGAAAUUAAAGGUUAAAAUUUAAGAAUGAGAAAUUUUUAUAAUUAUAGAUUAUUUUUUAGUAAUUUAUACUAAAUCAAUAAUAGAUAUUACUGCCAAUUACUUUUUAAAAAAAAUAAUUUUAGACCAGAAAAAUAGUGGCGACAGUAGUCGCCACCAUAUAACUAGGCCGGCGCUAAUUAACUAACUUUUAGCGGCGACAGAAUGUCGCCAUUAAUUAUCUAACUUUUCGCGGCGACAAAUUGUCGCCACCAAAUAUUUCGCGGCGACAGAAUGUCGCCAGUAAUUAGCUAACUUUUCGCGGCGACACCAUGUCGCCACUAAUUCUCUAAUUUUUCACGGCGACACUAUGUCGCCACUAUUAUCUAACUUUUAGCGGCGACAUUUUGUCGCCACCAAAUAGUUUUACCGACGGGGCUUUAGGCGGCGGCAUGCGGCGAUCAAUUGUCGCCGCCAAAACGUUUUUCGUGGCGACAAUUUGGCCUUUGGUGGCGACAUUUGUCGCCACUAAAUCUUGUAUCUGUAGUAGUGUGUUAACUAGCUCAAGUCAAAUAAACUGAAAAGAUGGCUAUAUAAUAAGAUCAACAUUUUAAAAGGUUUAGUAGCCAAUUCAAAAUAGCUUAUAAUUCAGAUAAAUUUUAUACAUUUUAAUUUAUUUAUUAAAUAUAUAAUUAUUAAAUGUCCUUUUAUUAGGUACUAGAAAAGGAAUAUAUGAUUGGGCACUUCAAGAUUUGUGGAGGGACAUAAUCAAGUGGUGACAACCUAGCAAUGUGAGACCCCUGCAGCUUCAAUAAAUAGUUGGUAUAUACUCAUUUAAAAAUUCUUUGGUACAUCAGUGUGAAUUGCAUGCCAAACAAAAUUAUAAUGUAAUAAACCAAAAAACAAAAAAAGAGUAAUUAAAAAAAGUAAGGCCCCAGUAGGUGUUGUUGCCUUUAUUUUAUUAUUAUUUAAAUAAAAUUUUUACAUAAAAAUAGGGUAAGAGGAAAUGAUGGAUUGUUUAGAAAAAUAAAAAAUCGGAAGUAAUUUAUUUUGCUUUCAAAAUAUUUUAGAGGAGUUGUAAUCUAUUAUUUGACCAAAUGCAAUAAGAAGGGAAAAAAAAAGUCUUUCUGUCGAUGUAUCAAAUUAUAUUGUCACGUCCCGGAUUACACGUUUUUCGGGCACGCCGACAAAUCCGCCGUAUACAAAGAAAUUUUUCCUGUAUACGAAACGAUGGCUGUACCUGUAAAUCAUACAAUACUACAAAAAGUAGUAUAGAGCUGCUAGAAGAACCAGAAAUAAAACAAACCGAGUUCCAUAUACAUAUGCCAAAUCCAAGAUACAAAACUACUCGCACUGGUUAAGUAAAAGUAUGUACAUGAACUCCAACAAAAACAACUAUCUGCUGUAGGGGCACCUCUAGCUCGGCUCGUCAGGUAGGGCUCUAACUCGCGAUGCACUUGCCUCAGUCCUGAUCAGCAACAGCAGCAGCCGAAGACGAAGGCUCUGCAAAAACGAGGUAACAAUAGGGCGUGAGAACUACUGUAAAAUAAGUAGUCCUCAGUAGGUGCCGCCCUCAACAUCAUCCCACUAAGUCUACAGAAGGGAGUAAAGGUAGUAAUAAAUGCCAGAAUAAAAUCUACAGCUACCAUUUAUUAUUCUAUCAUGCUCUAAGCUAAGCUACUAUAGAAAUGUCAAGUCUGAUCCAAUCUCUUUAGGGACUGUAAACAUACCCAUCCCAGGGACUGUGAACACACCCGUCCCGCCCAGUUGAAACUAUCCAGCUAACUCCACACUAACCAGUCCGUGGAGAGCAAGUCUAACUGGCAUACACGACACCAACGCAAAAGCACAGCGCCCGCUUCCGAAGUGGCACUCGUGGGAGCUACCCAACCGAGUAUGCAGCGUAUCUCUGUUGAGCUCAAUCAGGCUCUCUUAAGCCAAAGUCCAAGUAACCAGCACUAACUGGUCAAACGACUCACAGUCACGUGCCCUUGGCAUAAUCCGACGCCAAAAAGGCGAUAUGGGUCCACCGUCAACCCCGACGGCACCCAACUAUCCGAAACAGCCUGAACGCUACUGUAAAAAUAUACUCGGCAUCCCGUACGAGUGUAACUGAAAGCUAAACUAUCUGGGGUAUCCGCCGCCUCGAUACUGCGACGAUACAAAUACAACGGCUCCUAGAGCUAAAUUAGGUAGUGUAAACAGGUGACAGGUCCAAAUCGCUGGUUUUCUCCCAAGUCAAAUUCCAAGUCCAACACGUAUAAAUUACUUAAUUUAUUAUCACAUGCUCCAAAUUCAGAUUUACAAUUCACAUAAUAAUCUAUGAAUUCGAGCUAAAGUAAACUAUACAAAAUCUGAAAUUUACACAUGUUGACUACUAAGCACUUAGGAGUAUAAGCCGAUGAUUAACCCACCUUAGUCGCUAAUCCCCGGCAGCGAGGAAGUCCGGACACAAGGGAAUACCCUGUUGGAUCAACCGAAAACCUCCAAAGGCCAAAAGUCAGGCUCCCGCCAAACUCUACACGUAGAAUCCGACAAUAAGAAUCAAUUCUGCCUCAAAAACAGCAGCAGAAAAGACUAUAAUUCUGACCCAGCAAACCGUCACCAAAUUCAGAAAAUAAGGGCUUCGUGGAUUUCUCUUGAAAUCCUGAAUCCAACGAACCAAAUCUCGUCAAAAUCCGACGCUCCUACAUCGAGUACGAGCCGAAACGCCAACGAUCGACGCUGAAAAUCUGCAAAACAACAUCCUUGAGCUCGGAAGUGAUGAAGGCUUGCCAUGGUUGGAGGAAUUGAUGAACAUCUCACCUCAACAGCGAUUCUAGCACCGGCGCGAUGUCAAGAACGGCGAAAACGCACCCUCGCCCGGCCUCCUCGCGAUGCAACGGCAACAAACGCGCGCUCGAACGGCUCCGCGGCGCGACGUCGGCGACGGAACAACUCCACCCAAGCUCCUCCACCACGCUCGAUCACGCACAAGGAGAGGAGAGAGAGAGUGCUGAAGUCCUUUCCUCUCUGCUCUCUCUAUCCUAUAUAGGAGGGAGAAGGAGUGGAUGAAAACAAGGAGGGAAGGAAAGACCAAAAAGCUCCUCACCUAACCUGGCGUACCGGUACACGGGCCCACGUACCGGUACUAGAAGCCAACCCGAGAGCAGUCUGCGCGCAGCCUGUGCAGUGUACCGGUACACCGUGAUGGCUGUUCCGGUACAGCAAGCAGAAAAAAAGCUAUUUGCAGAUUUUUCUUGCUAAAUGCUGCUCUCGCGUCGCACAGAGUCCGUUUUGCGUCUAUUUCAUGCCAACGCGACUCAGACUUGUCCCGACACUCUCCAGAGCUGUUGACAAGUCUUCACUGCGUACACCAGGGGUCUUACAUCCUCCCCCACUACAAAAUAUUUCAUCCUCGAAACUUAAUCAUACCUCAGCUCAGGGCAUCGAACAGAUAGGGAUAGGACUCCCUCAUCACCGUCUCAGGCUCCCAAGUCGCUUCCCGCUCCUCGUGAUUACUCCACUGCACCUUUACAUACGGGAUGACUCGAUUGCGCAAUUCUUUCGUCUCCCAAGCAAGAAUCCGCAAUGGUCGCUCCUCGUAACUCAGAUCCUCGCCAAUCUCGAGUGGAGUGAAGUCAAUCACGUGAGAAGGAUCGAAAACAUAUCUCCUCAAUGUCGAGACGUGGAAGACAUCGUGAAUGCCAGCUAGUCGCGGGGGUAGAGCGAUCCUGUAUGCAACUGGUCCCACUCGCUCCAAUACCUCAAAAGGGCCAACGAAACGUGGACUAAGCUUUCCACGUACUCCAAAUCGGCGAAUCCCUUUGGACGGCGAGACUUUGAGGAAUACAUGAUCUCCAACCUGAAACUCUAAGUCUCGUCUCCUGGUAUCAGCGUAGCUCCUCUGGCGGCUCUGGGCUGUCAAAAGGUGUCGUCAAACAACUCUCACCUUUUCCUCAGCCUCCAGCAAAAUCUCAGGCCCAAGCGUUUUCCUUUCACCCACAUCACUCCAAUACAAAGGGGAUCGACAUCUGCGUCCAUACAACGCCUCAAACGGAGCCAUCUGGAUGCUCACUUGAUAGCUGUUGUUGUACGCAAACUCAGCCAGUCUCAAAUGUCGAUACCACCCACCUCCAAAGUCCAGGACGCAUGCUCUCAGCAUAUCCUCAAGAGUCUGAAUGGUCCGCUCUGACUAACCAUCUGUCUGUGGGUGAAACGCCGUGCUGAACUGCAGCUGUGUACCCAAGGCUGUUUGCAAACUCCUCCAGAAGUGUAAUACAAACCUCGGAUCCCUAUCAGAUACGAUCGAAAUCGGCACCCCAUGCAGCCUAACAAUCUCAUCCAGAUAUAGCUGCGCAAGUCUCUCUCUAGACCAGGUGGUCUGAACCGGUAAAAAGUGAGCAGACUUAGUCAGUCUGUCCACUAUCACCCAAAUCGCAUCGUAGCCACCCUGCGCUCUAGGCAAUCCCACGCCGAACUCCAUAGUGAUCUGCUCCCAUUUCCACUCGGGCACUGGCAGACUCUGAAGCUUGCCAGCAGGUACCUGAUGCUCGACCUUUACCUGUUGACAAGUCAGACACUAAGCCACAAAUCUGCCAAUGUCCCUCUUCAUUCCAUUCCAUCAAAACUGAGCCUUCAAGUCCUUAUAUAUCUUGGUUCCACCUGGGUGAACCGUAUAAGGAGAACAGUGAGCCUCUCUCAAAAUAUCCUCUCGGAUCCCUGAAUCCGCAGGUACACACAGUCGGUCCCUAUACCGCAGUACUCCUGAACUGUCCACAGAAAAGCCCUCAGCGUGUCCUCGGUCUAGAUGCUCUCGAAUCCUCAAUAAGUACGGAUCUCCACUCUGUUUCUCUCGGAUCCUAUCCAACAGAGUGGGCUGCAAGACCAGAGACAUCAGUCUUGCAAUAGACCCAGGGGACACUAUCUCGAGCCUCAACCGCUGUAGCUCCUCGAGUAACGGCCUCUGCCGUGUGAUCAUCAAACUCAGGCUCUGCACUGCCUGCCACCACGUUCGCCUUACCGGGAUGAUACUGAAUACCAAUGUCAUAGUCCUUCAGUAACUCCAACCACCGGCACUGCCUCAUAUUCAACUCCUUUUGGGUAAACAGAUACUUGAAACUUUUAUGAUCAGUAAAAAUCUCGCAGUGCUCGCCGUACAACUAAUGCCGCCACAAUUUUAAAGCAAAGACAACCGCGGCAAGCUCCAAGUCAUGCGUAGGGUAAUUCUUCUCAUAAUUUUUUAACUGUCGUGAAGCAUAAGCAAUUACCCUACCAUACUGCACAGCACACAGCCCAGACCACUGUGCGAUGCAUCACUGUAGAUCACAAAUCCUUCCCCCAUCACAGGAAGGGCAAGGAUAGGAGCUGAUGUCAACCUCUGUCUCAACUCAUCAAAGCUCCUCUGACAAUCCUCACUCCAGAUGAAUCUAAUCCCCUUGCGCGUCAAUCGAGUGAGGGGUGUGAAAAGCUUCGCAAAGCCUUCCACAAACCGACGGUAAUAUCCUGCUAGUCCAAGGAAGCUCCUCACCUCUGUCACCGUCGUCGGUCUGGGCCAAUCCCGAAUCGCAUCAAUCUUCUUCGGGUCGACUUCUACUCCCUCUGCUGAUAUCACGUGACUCAAGAAAGCGACCUCCCGUAACCAGAACUCGCACUUCUUUAACUUGGCAAACAACUUCUUCUCUCUCAGAAGCUGUAGCACAGUCCUCAAGUGCUCCUCGUGCUCAACAUCGCUCCGGAAGUAUAUCAAGAUAUCAUCUAUGAAGACUACCACAAAUCUAUCCAAGAACGGCUUGAACACUCUGUUCAUCAAAUCCAUGAAUGCGGCAGGGGCAUUCGUCAAUCCAAAAGGCAUCACUGUAAACUCAUAAUGCCCGUACCGAGUUCGAAAAACGGUCUUGGGAACGUCCUCGGCCCUCACCCUCAGCUGGUGGUAACCGGACUGGAGAUCAAUCUUCGAGAAGACACAAGAUUCUUACAGCUGAUCAAACAGGUCAUCUAUGCGCGGCAAAGGAUACUUGUUCUUGAUGGUCACCUUAUUCAGCUCCCGGUAAUCUACGCACAACCUGAGCGAACCAUCCUUCUUCUUUACAAAUAAUACCGGCGCUUCCCAAGGCGAAACACUGGGUCUUACAUGCCCCUUAUCUAUCAGAUCCUAAAGCUGCGCCUUUAGCUCUCUCAGCUCCGCCGGUGCCAUCCGAUAAAGUACCUUUGAGAUUGGUGCAGUUUCAGGAACUACAUCAAUCACAAACUCAAUCUCCCUCUCCGGCGGCAUCGUCGUCAACUCAGGGGGAAACACAUCUGGAAACUCACGGACCACAGGAAUAUCCUCCGGUUCCGACGCCGCCGUAGGUACCUCAACAACAGUAGCCAGAAAGGCAACACAUCCUCUACUCAUCAGCUGUCGAGCCCUCGCCGAAGAUAUCCAAGUGGCAAGCAGUGUACUCCUGCAGCCUCUACAAGUAAACUCCUCCUGGCCUGACUCGCGGAACGUCACUGUCCUCUCUCCACAAUCGAUAGUAGCAUAGUACCGCGCCAGCCAAUCCAUACCAAGCACGACGUCAAAGUCCUGCAGCUGCUCUAACACCAACAGGUCUGCGGGCAUGAUCCACAAGUCCAACUGUACCGGACACGACCAACAACACUCUGCAACCUGUAAAACAUGGUCCGGGAUCUGCACCUCUCGUGUCUGUGAUAAAACUCCUAACUCUAGACCAUGCAACAAUGUAAAUGCUGGGCUAACAAAAGAAUGCGAGGCACCGGUAUCAAAAAGAGUACAAGCUCUAAUACCAGAAAUCAAAGUGAUACCUGCCACCACUCGGUCGGCUGCUAAAGAGUCCUCCACCUGUGCUGCAUAGACCCUGCCGCUCGGAGUCUGCUGUCGUCGCUCGCCCAGAUGCGGCAUAGACGAUCUGUCCUCCUGGCGAAAACUCGAAGCUGCUCCAAAAGAAGGCUGAGAUGCCGGCUGCGCUGAUGCAGUGGAUGGUGCUGGUGAUGCUGUAUGGGGGCAAGCUGACCUCAUAUGUCAGGGCUAACCGCAACCAUAACACCUGCGCUUUCUCUGCUCGCACUGCCGGGGCCAGUGUGGUCCCCCGCAGAUCACACACUGCGGUGUCCUCUGAGUCUGUCCCUGCUGACGGGAUCCCCUGGAACGUUGACGCUCCGAUGGCCUACGACCCUGAGAGCGUGAUCGUGGAGGCCUCGGCGGACGCCUGCUGCUCGACUGUUCAGCAUCAUCUAAAAAGGGGGCUUCCUGUCCUGACUCUGCCCCACAUAAUUUAUAUAUAUUGUCAAUGAAAAAUUUUAUUCAUUCAUUAAAAAGUUAAAAUAUUUAUCAUCUUACAUUAUAUAUGUAUAAAAAAAUUUUAUAUAUAUAUAUAUAUAGAGAGAGAGAGAGAGAGAGAGAGAGAGAGAGAGAGAAUUGAGCUGGAACACUAUUGAUAGUAUUUGCCUUUAUUUACUAUCAAGUUUUUUAUACUAUUGAUAGUAGAGGUGCAAUGCACGUCACACAAGAAAUAUAAAGUUUUAAAAAUAAUUUAAUUAUUUUUUUUGAUUUUUCAAAAGUUAAUUUAAUUUUUUGAUAGUCAAAACAAAAAAAUUAACCACCGGCCAACUCUCUCUCUCUAUAUAUAUAUGUAUUAAUUGUUUACGCUAUAAAUCGACAUUGAACGCGUAUUUAAGAAGUGUCCACAUCGAACACAUUUCCGACACUGACAUGCGUGUGUCCGAUAUAGACACGUGAGGCUUAUAGAAGUGUCCUGAUACAUAGUAUAUUAUUCUAUAUAAAUAUAUAAAAAUAUUCUAAAUAUAUUAAAUUGUUCAAUUUUUAUAGUUUUAUAUUUCGGAUUAUAAUAUAACUAUCAACAAAGUGAGGUAUAGAUAUAAUAUCCUCUCUCAGAUGAUAUAUUAAAAAUCAGACUCAUCAGCUAUAUUUAAAAAAAAUUAUACAUUAAAUAUUUAUUAGAUAAAAUCGUACAUAACUUAUUUGAGCUAUGAAAUAUUUCGAAUCGACUACCCAAUUUUUCUAAAUUUUACUUUCACUGCCAAAUCUUUCAAUUUAUUGGGUUUGAGUCAGUCAGCAGUAUUUUGACUUUAAAAUUUAAAUUUAAUUAUUUUAAUAAAUUUAUAGUUGCAAGAAUUAUAUGAAGUAAUAUACUAAUUAUAUCUGUAAGAAUAAGCAACAUAUUCAAAUUUAAAAUCAAGGUGCUGUUAACUAGCUCAAGUCAAAUAAAUUGAAAAGAUGGAUAUAUAAUGAGAUCAACAUUUUAAAAGGUUUAGUAGCCAAUUCAAAAUAGCUUAUAAUUCCGAUAAAUUUUAUACAUUUUAAUUUAAUUUAUUAAAUAUAUAAUUAUUAAAUGUCCUUUUAUUAGGUACUAGAAAAGGAAUAUAUGAUUGGGCACUUCAAGAUUUGUGGAGGGACAUAAUCAAGUGGUGACAACCUAGCAAUGUGAGACCCCUGCAGCUUCAAUAAAUAGUUGGUAUAUACUCAUUUAAAAAUUCUUUGGUACAUCAGUGUGAAUUGCAUGCCAAACAAAAUUAUAAUGUAAUAAACCAAAAAACAAAAAGAGUAAUUAAAAAAAAGUAAGGCCCCAGUAGUUGUUGUUGCCUUUAUUUUAUUAUUAUUUAAAUAAAAUUUUUACAUAAAAAUAGUGUAAGAGGAAAUGAUGGAUUGUUUAGAAAAAUAAAAAAUUGGAAGUAAUUUAUUUUGCUUUCAAAAUAUUUUAGAGGAGUUGUAAUCUAUUAUUUGACCAAAUGCAAUAAGAAGGAAAAAAAAAAAAAAAGUCUUUCUGUAGAUGUAUCAAAUUAUACAAAUUAAUAUUUUAAAAAGUAAAUACAGAUGCCAAAAGAGGCCUUUUUUUUUUUGAAAAAACUUCAAAUGCCACCCAUGUGAUUUCGUACUUUUUUAUUUUAAUACCUUGUGACUUAAAGUUUAUCAAUUUAGUACCCCAUGGUUUUAUUUUUGUCUUUUUAUUUGUUACUCUACUCUUUUUUUUUCGUUAAAUCAGUGAUAAAUUUAAAACUAAAAUUAUUAAAGUGAAUAUGUGAUAAACUUGGUGGAAUAUCUGAAGUUUUUUAUAUAUAAUUUAAUAAAAUGUUAACAAAUGAUCUAACGAAAAGAGAAAAAUGAAACCACAAUUUACUAAAUUGAUACACUUUAAACCACAUAGGUGGUAUUUGAAGUUUAUCCUUUUUUCACUUAUUUAAUCUUUAAGAUCAUUACUGUUGUAAAUUUCGCUUGCAUAUAAAUUUUUUGAUGGUCCUAUCGGGCGACAAACACGCAAUUUUAUAUUGGGUGUGAAAAAGAUUAUUUGUAGCUGUACAAGGAUUAACCUUUCUAGUAUUAAUAACUUGGGUUUACGGUUUAAAGUGAGAAAUGAAAUAAUUUGAGCUUAUGCUCGUAAUGUAAAAAAGAUAAAAUUAAAACUACAAAGAUAAAAUCAAAACUACAAAAUAAUGUAAAAAAGAUGACGACUCAGAAACUUUCUUCAAAUUAUCUAAAAGGUUAAGAACAUUAUUCUAAAUUUUGCCGAUCCUGAGAAGGAAAAAAAAGUAAUUAUGAGAGGUUUAUUCUGCAAAAUGACAUAUAAUGUUUAUACUCUUGAAAACGACAGUGUCCAAUGUGUCCCCAAAUCAAGAAAAUAAUAAUCUCUCCAUUAUAUCUCCUAAUCAAAAAGAAAUUAAUAAGUUCUCCUUAUACUGUUAAAAAUAAGAGUCUUAUAUCCAAUAUAAAUUUAAACUUUAAUCUGUAUAUAAUGAGUGUAUCUCUACUUAAUAUUGCAUAAAUUUUUUUGGUAGAACUUAGAGCUUUUGUGUUAGGCCUGAGCCUUGUCUAAAUUCGCAAUAUAUUUAUUUGAGACCCUAAAAUCAAAAAAAACAAAAGAAUAAUUUUCAUAAAUUAAGAGUUACAAAGAAUAAAUAAAUAAACAAAAAUAUGAAGUACAUUUAUUCACAAAAAUCAGAUCAGAGGUCCAUCACUAUGAUUUGCUGAGAAUAAUUUUAGAAGGUUAUAUUCUAGCUUAUUCUAAUGCAAAAAAAAGAAAAAAAAAAGGGAAAAAAAAAGUACCAAAACAUCUCAAAUAUUUUUAAAUAAAAAUUUUGAUAAAUUCAAUUAAUGGUGAUUAUUUUAAAUUCAACUCUUCUAUAUGCUUUUUGAGCUGAUGAAGUACAGGCACUAAUAUUGAUACUGAACAGAGUCAUUAAUUUUAACUAAUAACAUAGUUACUAAUUUUAGCAAAAUCUUUAUUUGAGUAAGAAAAUAGUUCAAACCAAAGUAACUAAAAGUUGAGAGGGGGCAUCAAGCCGAAGAAAAAUAGUUGAGGGGCCUAAUUCAAAAUAGGACCCCAUAGUUCCCAUGCAUCACCUUGUUCUAGUUUCACUGUAAUUUGGUAGAGAGAGAGAGAGAUCUCCAAAGGGGCUUAGGUUGGGCUAAGAUUGGGCUUAAAUUGGCCCUGUUGUUGGAUUCCACUAACCAAAUUUGGCCUAAUGGCUAAAUUACAUUGAUGGCCCUCAAACUAUUAGGUGAUGACAUUUCAGUGAACUUUAAUUUGUUAAUUGUUAAAUGUUGUGGCUUCAAUUUUGUAAAUUAUUACAAUUAAGUUUAGCAAUCCAAUUAAAUUGGCUAGAUAUUGAAAAUGCCGUUGAUGUGGCAAUGAUGUGGUAUCCUAGUUAUUAUCACAUCAUCCAUCAUCAACUAUAGGACAGUCAUAUCACUACCACAUCAGCAGCAAGUCACUAUUCAGUCUAAAAGAUUGUAUUAUAUAGGACUUGAUUGCAACAAUCUAAAAAGUUUGAGUUAAAAAUUAUAAUUUAACUUAUAUGUUUGAAGACCAAAAGUGUAAGGUAGUCGAUGCCCAAUUCCCAAACUAUGAUAUGCUUUGGCCUUGAAGUGUAAUUUUUGAAAGGAUUAAGGGAAAUUUGAUAUGAAAUCUCCUCAGCCAUAGUUAGGGUUGUAAAACAGGCCAGGAAACCCUUGCGUCGGCCUAGUCCGGCCCGGCACGGCCUGCAUCCAUGGGCUGGAACUUGUUUGUCCAUAGCUCGGCACGUACGGGUGUUAACGGGUCAGAUUUAAGGUGGAUAUUUGAAUACCCAAACCAGAAUCCGACAUCCAAAAUUGAAAUCCAAAUUCGACUCUGAACCUGUUAGAUUUUGAAAACUCAUAUUCAAGUCCAAACCCGCCCAAAAAUCCAAAAUUGGAAUCCAAACCUGAAAACCCGAACUCAAAAACAAUUUUUACCAAAUUUCAAAACGUAAUAUACUAAAAUUUAAUCCCAAGCUUUUCACUGCUUUUUUUUGUUCUUAUUCUUUCUUUUGCAAUCAAGUUUUUAAAUUUCUUGAUUUCAUCGCAAUAAAAUUGACACUGUUAAAAGAGGAUUUAGAUUUUAACGAUAUUACCAUGCCAUCGCCUAUUUAGAUUUUUUUUUUGCAUGUCAAUUUUGGUCUCUAAACUUUAUUUUUCACUUUAGUCCCCAAAAUAAAAUUUUAAAAUUUUGAAUUUAAAUCCAAAUUUUAUUUUAAAAUUAAUCCAAAAAUUUAUGAGUAAAAAAAAAAGUCUAUACUCAUAAAAAUAUAACAGUUAAACUAUGUAUUAUAGUAAUAUUUUUUCGCCGCAUCACGCGCAAACCCUUAACUAGUUACCAAUAUGCAUCCGCUGUAAAUAUGAACGUAGAGCGCUUUCUAAUUAGUACCCGGUCAUUUUCAUCUCAAACCUCAACCAAGCGUGAUAGGGACUGAUUAGGGACUAGAGAGCAAUUUAACACCAAACAAUGAAAUAUAUUCAUAUUAAUUUAACAUGUGUCCAUUAAUGGGAUGCUUUUUGGAUUUAAUGCAUUUAAUAAAGCAGUUGAGCAAUUACGCUAUCACGACUUUAAAUUUGUCCACCUACCCCGAAGCUGCAGAAUUUACUAUUUUAUUAGUUGUGUAUUCUCUUAAUAAUUUCGUAUUAUAAUUUGCUGGAUAUUUAAAAAACUUAAGACUCGUAGUGUCUCGUCAAUCAGAAAUUUUUCUUUGUAAAUUUAUAAGAGAAAUAUUUCAAUGCACCAGCCGAUUUAAAUUUGACCAUUCAAAUUUUUGAGGUUAAGAUUGACUUUUAUAAUAGUAACUUUCUCAGCAGGUUACCAAUCAAUCGUAAAAAUAAUAUUUGAAAAUAUUUAUUAGUUAAUUACCAAAUUUGAUAAUAUCGGACAAAUGUUCAUUUCCUAAUUUAAUUUUGUUACUAACUAAAUUAGAUAAUGGCUAAAUUUGAUAGGUGAUAAAUCUUCAUAAAUUCGAAUUUAAAAUUAAACUUGAGUUUAAACUUUAUAUUUGUAAUUGUAUAAAUUAAAUUUAAAUUUUAGAAAGAAAAAUUUAUAUUUAAAUGAGUAAACAUUUCAAUUCAAAUUGUCAAUUCAAUAUUAAACUAACAUGAAGGUUCAAAAAUGUUAAUCUCUUUAAAAUUGUAAUUUAAUUUAUAGUGUAUUUAUAAACUUUUAUUAUUUAUUUAAAUAAAAGAUUUCUAUAUUUUAAAGUAAGUUGAAAUCGUUAACUCAAUAUUGAAAAACAACAUUAAAUUUCAAAAAUAUUGAUCAAAUUUAAAUUAUAAAUUUAGAUUUAAUUUAUAUUAUAGUUAAAAAAAUAAAUUUUGUUAACUAUUUAAACAUAGAGUUUCGAUGUUUGAAAAUUAAUUUUAAAUUACAAAUUACUAAAUUUAUGACUCAAUGUCAUCAUAAAUUAUUAUUAAAAUCAGUCUUCAAAAUGGGUAAUCCAAUUAAAAACUCAUUCUCUCCCCGAUUCAAGGGUAGUAUGCAAAACUUUCCAAUAUUAGUUAUUUAACUUCUUAAUAUUAGCUCUUUCGUUUUUCCAAAAAACUCUAGUUUCACAUACCUGGUGACCGAUACUGCUUGUGCGAUAGCAGGUCAUUUUUUUUUAUGCAUAAAUCUUAAUCCUUUAUUUCUUUAAAAAUAAGCGGUUAAAAUUUAAAACAGAGUAUUAAAACAUUGCUCAAUUUAUAAUUGUAUAAAUAAAUUUAUAAUUGGUAUAAGGUAUACUUUAUAUUUGUAACCAAUUAAAAAAAUAAAUUUUGUUAAACAAUUAAUUUAAAACAUAGAGUUUCGAUGUUGAAAAUUAAUUUUAAAUUACAAGUUUACUCAAAUUUAUGACUCAACUCACAUAAAUUAUUAUUAAAAUCAGUCUCAAAAGGUAAUUCCAAUAAAAACUCAUUCUCUCCCCGAUUCAAGGUAGUAAUUCAAAACUUUCCACUGAUGUAUUAUUAUUAACUUUAAUAUUAGCUCUUUAUCGUUUUUAAAAACUCUAGUUCGCUAUACCUGUGACCGAUACUGGCUGUGCGAUAGCAGGUCAUUUUUUUUUAUGGCAUAAAAUCUUAAUCCUUUAUUUCUUUAAUAAUAAGCGGGUUAAAAUUUUAGAAGCAUGAGUAUUGAAACAUUGGCUCAAUUUAAAAUUAUACAUUUAAAUUUAUAAUUGUAAUAAUUGUAUAAAUUUAUAAUUGUAAAUAAACCAAUUAAAAACUGCAUUCUCCUCUCUCUCGAUCAAGGGUAGUAUGGCAAAACUUUUCAAUAUUAGUUAUUUAACUUCUUAAUAUUAGCUCUUUCGUUUUUUCCAAAAAAAAUCUCUUUGUAGUUCUCAACAAUACCUGUAACUCGAUACUGCUUGUGCGUAGCGGGUCAUCUGUUUUGUUAUGGCAUAAUCUUAAUCCUUUAUUUCUUAAAAAAUAAGCGGGCUAAAAUUAGAAACAGAAUAUUGAAACAUUGCUCAAUUUAAUAUACAGGAAUAUAUCUCCAAUCAGUCAUAAUUGUAGCCAAUUGAAUGAAAAGAGUCCAAUCAAAAAUUAAUUCAAAUUACACAUUAACGUGAUUCUUAAAAAUACAAAAAAAAAAGAGUAAAAUUUAUACUUCUAAUGCAAUGUGGGGAGCAUUUGACAAGGAUAUUUGCAAAAAUCUUUAUGUGAAAAAAACUGGCAGAGUUUCCUCCUCCUAGGAAUGCACAACGGGGCGGAUCGGGGCGAAAGCCCGCGCCCGCCUCCCGUCCCGAUCAGUGGAUCGGGUUAAACAAUACAUCCCAUAAUCUUCAUCCCACGUCUCGUAAACUCCGUCCUCCGCCGGCGCCUCAUACCGCCGCCGCAACAAUAAUAUUUUUAUAAAAUUAUAAUAUUAUUAAUAUUUUAUAAAAAUAUUAAAUUCAAUCAAUUUUUAAUAAUAUUAUAUAUAUUAUAAUCAUCAUUAUAAAAAUAAAAAUUAUCAAUCACAAAUUCAAAUAAAAUUCAAAAGUUUCAAAAAAUUAGAUGAGAGUACUAACUUUAUUUAUUUUUGAACUUUUUGUAAUAUAUAUUAUUUUUAAGAUAUUUGUUUCAAAAUAUAAAUAAUUUCGGGCGAAUGUCUGGGCGGAUUCAUGAUCAAAAUUUUUUCUGUUUCCUACCCUGAAUCCGUCUCAGAUCGUAACCCCGUUUCCCGCCCAGAAUCCGUUUAUUUUCCCUCAUUUACUGCCCCGUCGGAACGGAUUGGGGCGGGAGCUCUACCAACCCGGAUCCGUUUGCAUACCUACCUCCUCCUCAAGAGCAACAGAAAAUAUUAAUGAAACCAGCCACAUCUUUAAUUAAUGCAUAUUUCUAUGGAAAGUUACAUCUAACAAAACUAAUAAAUAUUUUGACGUGUUGGCAGUUGGGAGCGUUGAAUCUUUUCUUUAACUUUAAUAGGAAUAGAAACAUAAUAUGUAUGCAUUGAAUCUUAGGUGCAUUAUUUACAUCUCUUAAACUCUUCUUACAGUUUGACGGCUAUUCCGCUCGAAGAGUAACAGAAAAUAUCAAUGAAACCAAUGUCAAAUCUUCAAUUAAUGCAUAUUUCCAUGUGAAAUUACAUCUAACAAACUGACAAAUACUCAGACAUGUUGGGAACAGUGAAUCUUUUCUUAAAGCGGGACCAGUAAACAGAAAGUAGCUGGGAAAGAUAAUUUCACAUGAUAUCUGCUUCUUUCAAAAGCACUUGUUACAGAAAUAAUUGACCAAGUCUUAAUAGCAAGAGAUGUUCACUGCUUCUGCUGCUGCUGCUGCUGCUGCUGCUGCUCUAUAAAUUAUAAGCCACAUAUAUAAUCUGCAAGUCAUUACAACUUCUCUUAUGGCUGGUACCAGCAUGAAGCUGCUCCAUGACUUCAUUUUCCUCCUAAUUUUCUCUCUCUUUUCAUUCCCCAAACUCAAUAUCUCUGCUGCAGCUACUGACACACUUUUCAGAGGCCAAACUCUCUCUGGAGAUCAAACCCUUGUCUCCAGAUAUGGCAACUUCGAGCUGGGCUUCUUCUCCCCAGGUAACUCGCACAGAUACUACUUAGCCAUCUGGUACAAGAAAGUCUCUGUAAGAACUACAGCUUGGGUAGCAAACAGAGAUAAGCCCCUCUCCAACCCCUCAUCCUCGCUUCUAAAGCUGACCACAACUGGCAAGCUUGUCCUUCUCCAAACAGCACCCAACACGACCGUAAUCUGGUCCUCCGAGUCCGCUUCCUCCGCUGCGAUUGCGGUGCUCGGCGACGACGGAAAUCUUGUCGUAAAAGAUGGUAAUUCAAGCUCCCAAACAACAUACUGGCAGAGCUUUGACCACCCUACAAACACCUAUCUCCCUGGAGCCAAGCUUGGCUAUGAUAAGUUCGCGGGAAUAAAUCGGUUCCUGACUUCUUGGAGAAGCUCAGAUGAUCCCUCCCCCGGGCUUUUCUCUUUCGAGAUAAACCCGCGCGGCGUCAGCCAAUUCUUCCUCUACUCAAACAGGACUCAUGAGUACUUCACCACAGGUGUCUGGAAUGGGAAAAUCUUCAGUGGAGUCCCCGAGAUGAGAUCCAAUUACUUCUUCAACUUCAAUUACGUCGCGAACGCCAACGUUAACUACUUCAGUUUCGCGGUUCGCGACAAGUCGGCGAUAACCAACUUCAUGUUGGAUUAUGAUGGCCAAAUGAAGAGGUCGCAGUGGGAUAACAACACAAAGCAGUGGGUCCUUUAUGGUGUUCUUCCAAGGAAUCCGUGUGAUGUUUACGGCAUAUGCGGGCCUUUUAGUAGCUGCAGCAGCACCACCUCUCCUUUUUGCCAAUGUCUACGGGGCUUCAAGCCGCGGCUUCUCGAAGAGUGGAACUCCGGUGGCGCCUCUUCUGGAUGUUCACGAAGAACUUCUCUGAGCUGCGACGAGAACGACGACUUCGACAUGUUGUUUGGUGUGCAGAUGCCUACUAAUCCUCAUCAGUUAGUCGCAGCCGUUCGUAGCGCGAAGCAGUGUGGACAAACCUGCUUAAAAAAUUGUUCUUGCACUGCAUACUCUUUCAAUAGUGGUUGUGUGCUGUGGUUUGGAGAUCUUUUGAACUUAAAGAGAUUUUCCGCUACUGCGAAAAGCAAUAGUGCAACUCUCUAUAUUCGGCUCGCUGCUUCCGAGCUGCGAAGGCCGAAAGAGGAAUGGAAGAUGUAUAAGAUAGUAGUUGUAGUUCUCACAAUUGCCGCAUUUGCUGUUAUUGCUUGCAUUUUGUUAGCAUGUGCUUUCCGCAAAAGGAAAGCAGUAGGAACUGGAAAGCAAAUCAGUGGUUCCUUGCUGCUGUUUGAUUACCGAACUAUAAAGAGGGCGACUUCGGGCUUCUCGCAGAAGCUCGGGAGCGGAAGCUUCGGGGCCGUCUUCAAAGGAGUACUGCAAGACGGAACUGUCGUGGCCGUGAAAAAGCUCGAGGGCUUCAGGCAAGGCGAAAAGCAGUUUAGGAUGGAAGUGAGCACUCUCGGAAUGAUCCAACACGUCAAUCUAGUCCGGCUUCGCGGGUUUUGCUCAGAGUCGGAUAAAAGACUUCUCAUCUACGACUGCAUGCCAAACGGUUCUUUAGAUUUGUAUCUCUUCGGAAGAAAUGAUGGCUCAGAAACCUUAACUUGGAAUCAGAGAUUCAACAUUGCUAUCGGGAUCGCGCGGGGAUUAGCUUAUCUGCAUGAGAAAUGUAGGGAGUGCAUAAUACAUUGCGACAUAAAACCGGAGAACAUACUUCUCGAUACGAACCUUUGCCCUAAGGUCGCGGAUUUUGGUAUGGCAAAGCUUAUCGGUCGUGAAUUCAGCCGUGUACUGACAUCCAUGAGGGGGACUUUUGGGUACCUCGCUCCGGAAUGGAUCGCGGGGUCGGCCAUCACUCCGAAAGCCGAUGUUUAUAGCUUCGGAUUGUUACUACUUGAGAUAGUUUCUGGAAAGCGGAACAGUAACAUGAAUGAUGAUGGAGAAUGUGUGUAUUUUCCUCUGCUGGUUGCGACUAAAUUGUACGAAAGCGAUGUGCUUUGCUUGCUAGAUGAGCAGCUGAAGGGGGAAGCAAAUUUGGAGGAGCUUGAAAGGGCUUGCAGGGUGGCCUGCUGGUGCAUUCAGGACCACGAGUUGUGGAGGCCAACGUCCCGCCGAUCCCGAAGUUACUCCAAACACUUGCGACGGAGUAAGAUCGGUGAUGAGAUAUCACUGUAAUUAGUAUAUACACUUUAGUUGUGAUUGUACACGCAAGAAUGUGUGGGUGAUGAAUAGGCUAAAUGUUAUGUAUUGCUGUUAAGUGUAAUUGUGCUUUUAUUAGCAAGAAUUGUGAAGAGUUCUUGUUUUAAUUGAUGUGAAGGUUGUCCUUAGUCCCAUAUUUGCAAUGCUACUUCUCAACUAAAUGCUGAGAUAGUUUCAACCAUACAGAGUUAUUUUUACAUGCUGAAUAGUUUAAAUUAAACCAAAGAUGUGAAUAGUUUAACAAAAAAAAUUAUGUUCUGGGCACAAUGAAGAUUAAAAACAAAAAAUAAAAAACCCAAAAAAAAAAAAAAAAAAACAAGUUGCAUUAGACCGGCCAAGAGACUUAAUCCAAAAGUGCUUUUACACAACCUUCACUAUGACCAUAAAAGGCCCUACUGUUGUCUUUAAGCCAAAUAAUACAAGUACUACUGGUUUAAAAGCAUCAGCAUCCUAUCCGGCAGCAUCCUAUCCGGUACCAGAAGAUCAAGUUAGGCCAAAUCAUAUUCGAAAUAAAGGAAGGCCAAAUUGAACCGACUCACGUUCGAACUGGUAUGAAGCUAGUUAGGCUGAAUAACAAGCGAAACCCAUUAAGUGUUUGUAUGCUUUAAGUCAAUUAGUUACAUAUUUUUAACGACUCAAAACUUUUGAGACUAAUGAUUAGUACCAACGAUCCGACAAGUUACAGCAUUCAAUUGAGCUAUAAUCAAGUAAAAUUUGGUUUUUUGAGAAGGAUAAUUUGGCGAUGUUUACGAAAGUAACUAUCAAUUCUUAAGAAUCUACACAAAAUGAGACAUUGAAGGGAGACUACAUAAAGGCAGUAAAUGAAAUGAAUGCAUCUUCAUUUUAGCACAACAUACACUGCUGGUUCUUGAAGCACCAAAGAAAUAAAAAAAACCCCAGUUCCAAUAAAUUAAAGAGCGCUUCACCCACAAGAUACAGAGACCAAAAUUGGGUGUGCAUAGCAACAAAAGGCCCUCUGCUUCAUUGAGAAAUAUUAAGCACAUCCAUCCUAUCACUAAGGCAUGUCAUUUCCAAUUUAAUUUCCUUCCAAAAGUAACACAACUUCUCAAUACACCGGAAAGACAAAAGAGAGGCGCGCACGCGCGCGCGAGAGCGAGAGAGAGAGACACAUCCUAACCUACAAGAAGAUCAUACUCAGAAGUAGCAGCCCCAUCAUUAUAACAAGCGAUGAGGGGUCGAAGGUAGUAUGAGGAGAGCCCGAUUGUGCUGCUGUGGAAUUGGAGGAAGGAGCCAACGAUGUGCCGUUCAACAUUGUGCCGUUCUUUCCGCCACUGCACAUUAAAACAGCAAAAGAACCAGAAAUAGCUAUGAGUUUAGUUAGCUAAGUUAAUAUGAUAGUGUUUAUACUGGAAGGAUUGCAUCAACUAACAAUUUCAAUUGCACAAACUUAAAAAAGUAGUAGUAAACUUAACAGGAGCUGCUUCUAUGUAAAAUUUCAUGUGAAAUUAGUAUUUUCACAUGUUAGAAUUUCGACUGCAUAGAGAUUUAUGAACAAUCUUCAUGCUGCCUAUAUAUUUUAAAUUAUUAUGAAUGCUUACACAAAGUUUCAGAUCGUUUUUUUAUUUCUUGAUUAGGGUUUUAACACAUAUUACUUAAUAAUCCAUCAGAGUAGAAGGAUUUGUACUCUAAUGAAUGAGACAGAGCACAUACCUUCCAGCAAAUAUGCAAGCACCAUGACCUGCGAAAAGAAAACCACCAACAUUUUGGUUUAUACGGAUUCAACAAAUUCAAGCAAUUUGACAAUGAGACUACAGCAAUCUCGGUUAAAAAAAAGAGAUAGUAUAUUUCGAAAUCAUCUCAUAUAAGCCUUACUUGGGUCAGUGGUGGUUAUGGCCGCAACCCCGUUGAAGUAGCAGGUGCCCGAACCCAUACCCAUCCCGUGAUAGUAUGCGUUGAACGCGUAGGUCGCAUGGGAUUCAACUGUGUCGGGGUCGUAACACGGCUGCCCCUGCAUCAUUGCAGAGCAGUCCACCUUCCCGGGUCCGCAUGCCCAGUCGAGCGCGGCCUGCAGCAUCUUGGCAUCUGCACCGUCCCGCGCAAUGCAGUACGUCUGGUUUGUCGUGUCGUUUGCCAGCAGCACACCCGACCCAGUUAGGUGUAGUGUGUACGCAGGCACACCGCUCGCGUCGAACAGCCCCCAGUACCUCUCCGACGUGGCCCCAGGGCGCUGGUCCUCAUCGUAAAGCUCAUAGAUGUAUGUGGGCACGGGCACUCCAGGGUGCUUCGGCGUGCCGGUGCUGUUGAGCACGUGCCGGAUGAGGUUGCUGUUGUAGGUGUCAGCGUUGUCAGGGGUAGCGUCGGGCUCGGUGGAUGGGUCGCCCUUGUGGGGCCACCCGGACUCGAGCACGACGACAGGCAAGUUCGUGACAUUCAAAUAGGCCAUGGCGAAGUAGGCGGCGUCGACAACCGCGUCAAACACAUUGGUGUAGUGGAGGAGGGUGUUGGCGUCGACGGCCUCCUUAUUGGGGGGGAGGGGGCGGAAGAGGGCAUAGUCGAGGGGGAUGACGCCGUUGGACUGCAUGUAGUCGUAGUAGGGGUAGACGUUGAGCAUGAGAUAGGAGUCGGUGGACUGUAGGAACUUGAGGAGGGGGACGAGGACGGGGUCGAGGGUGCGGUUGAAGAAGGCCUGAGAGGGUGGGAAGGAAUCGAGGAUGAUGGACGAGGAGUGCGGGGUGGAGACCUUGAUGUAGCGGUCGAGAUUGGCGGCGACGAGAGCGGAGUGGAUGUAGCGGAGGGCAGGGAUAAGGAGCGGGGCAGCAUUCGGAAGGGCGGAGAGGACCUCGGAGCCGACAGCGAUGGCAGAGAUGUUGACGGCAGGGAAGUGGGCGGCGACGUUACGGGCAACCCAGUUGGCCGCGGUGGCAUUGGACUGGCCCACGGCGAGGAGCUGCUCGUUGGGGACGGAGACGACGACACGGAUGCCGGAGUUGGCGAGGGCGGCCAGCAUGGCGGGGUCGACAUCAUAAAGGCGUACGUAGUGGAUCUGCUGCGACUUCAGCAGUGCCACCACCUGCGUCGGCGAUGGCAUUGACGACAGUGCCGUGCCAACAUUCACGCCGAUGUAUGCACCUGCAGCGAGGCAGACGGCGCGCGUCAGCACCACAGUUAAAUUAGGUUUGGAGCGAAAAUUCAAACUGAACUGGUUAAAAACCAGUUUGUAGUAAAAUCUCAAACAAAUACUGAUUCUCAGAAAACCAAAUCCAAACCACACAAAAAAAUAAAUAAAUAAAACAAAAUAAAGGUAGAAAUGUAUGGAGAACACCUGAAAAUUAAAAUAUAGGCGAUUUUGAGACAGGUGCAACAACUUUAUUUCAUUUGAUUGAUACCCCCUUCAAUCUUAGUGACCUUUUAAAACUAAUAAUUUAAAUCAAUUAAAUUCAAAAUUUUUAUCAAUUUUAUCCGGUGAUCAAAUUUAAUGAUUUUGAUCACCUAUUAGCAAAUAAAACUAAAAGAGCUACCACUAAUAGCAAAUAGUGCUAAGAAAAUUUUAAACUCAACUAAGAAUAACCCAAAUUUAAAAAAAAAUUAAAAAUUAAGAAAAUAUCAGUAAAAAGGGUUUAAGUUGAGGGGCAUAUUUCAUUAUCGCCUCUAGUUGAGGGUGUCACAGCACAUUUUUACCAAUUUAAACUCCAAGUUUAAUAGGAAAAAUGUGCAAAGACCCCAUGAACUUGGCUUCUGAAUGUUUAGUUUUGACAGUUAGACCCCCAUGCUUGAUCAAAUAGUUCAAUAGUCCUUGUCCUAAUUUGCAAUAACCAAUUACACAGCUAUUUUGAUCACACAUUUUGCACAUAAUCUUGUAAAAUUUAAAAGACAAAAAAAUAAUUUAAUUUUCUCUUUGAAUUAUGAUAAUCAAGCAUUAAGAUUGAAGAAUAUAGUGAAUCACUCUUCAAUUUUUAUUGUUUUUUCAUUUGUUGGAAUACGAAGAAUAGAUUUCUUUGUAUUUUCAAAUCUUUACAAAAUUAUAUGCAAGACAUGCGACCAAAAUAACUAUGUAAUAAAUAAUUUCACAAAAGAGGGCGGCCUAGUAAAGUAUUUAAUAAAAUUUAGAAGGUCCACUCGCCAACAAUCGAAAGUUUCGGCGCCAGUUGCAAAUAUGCAAAAGUUCAAGAAGUUUUCGCACUUUUUUUUCUAAAUUUAAUUUAAUUUAAAAAGGAAAAAAAUAUACAAAAACCUCCUAAACUUCAGCUCUUUCGCAAAUAGAUGCCUGAACUUUCAAUUUUGGCAACUAAACCACCUAAAAUUUAUUAAAUAGUUCGAUAGGCCCCUCUCUUCAAUUAGAAUUAUAAAUUAUACAACAGUUUUGGUCAUAUGUCUUGUAUACAAUCUUAUUAAAAUUCAAAAUAUUUAAUAAAUUAUUUUUUCUUUUCUAAUAUAUAAAAGAAGCAACAAAAAUUGAAGGCAGGUUUAUCCAAUUUUUCAAUCCUCAUGCUUAAUUAUUGAACUUGGGAAGAGAAAAAAUAUAUAUAUUCCUUCACAUCUGAAGGAAUAUAUAAAAUUAUCACAUGCGACCAAAAUGAAUGCAUAGUUAAUAACUUCGAUUAAGAAGAGAGACUUAGUGAACUAUUUUGAUGAAGUGCGAAAAGGUCUAAUCGCUAAAAUUGAAACUUCAAACGUCAAUUGCAAACGAGCUAAAGUUCAGGGAGUGUUUGUACUUUUUUCUCAUUUAAAAUUGAAAAAUUCUACUUGUACACCCCAAAAGGGGGCGUAGAUCUUACACCCCCAACCUAAGAUUCCCAAAAAGUCCAUUAAAAAAAAUAAUAAAGUUGAUACGAUAAGUAGAAAAUAAUGAUCUUUAGAUGAAGAGAGUGUAAGAUAUACACUCUACAUUAGGGUGUAUCAGUAGCAUUGCUCCUUAAAAUUCAAAGGCUAAAUUACACUUUUGGUCUUGAAACUAUGAGGUGUGUGGCACUUCGAUUCUCAAAACUUUCAUUUGUUACAAUUUUUUACUGAAACUUUAUAAUUAUUCCAAUCAAAUCCCACAAUCCAAUUAGUUUGAAAGUGAUAUGACAUUUUAAUCAUUAUCGAGUCAUCAAUCCCGAUUCUGCUACAUCACUUCCACAUUAGCCAUACAUAAACAUUUAGAUAGCUAAAUUAGAUGUACAAAAAAAAGAUUAAUUGCAUACAGCUCCCCUGUAAACCUAUAGAAUGGCAAAUAUAUCCCUACAAAGUUAAACUUUUUAUUUUUAUCCCUGCAAAAGUCCAGUGAUAUUUAUAUUUGCCCCUCUAGUUUGUUAACAUUAGAGCACUGUUUAUUUUUUAACAGCAGAUGAGUGAAAUGACAUUUUUGUCCUUAUAAAUAUAUCCCUCCAAAAGCCCAACUGUUAGAAUUAUGAAGAAAUGUCCUUCCAAAAAAGUAUUUUAUCCAAUAAUAUAAGAAGGAUAAAAACAUCAAUUUAACUCAGUCGCUAACCAAGGUUAAACAUUUUACUUAUGCUUAACUACAUUCUUCUAACGGAUCCUAACGGCAUGGGUAUAUUUGAAAACGUGAAAACUUUUGCAGGGAUAAAAAUAAAAAGUUAAACUUUGUAGGAAUAUAUAUAUCUACUAUUCGAUAUGUCUACAAAGAGCUGUAUGCAGUUAACCCUAGUAAAAGUAUCGAGCCAGAAACUACAACCGUCUAAAUUUGGAGGACUAAAAUGCCACACUAGUCAUAGUUGGAGGACUAAAUUAAAUUAAAUAUUACACAAGGCUGUCCCUACGGAACAGCGAAACAGCGCCAGCUGUCGCGCAACACGGCGGCCGGAGACAUGCUGGUACGGCGCGCAUGUUCGUACCAAGCGAGGGGUCCGCACGGAGACGACGUACCUAUACAUUUCCCUAUGCGACCAGGCGGGAAUCCGCAGUACGUUCAAAUGAUCCGCCGCUCAUUUUUACACACGAAAAGAAAUCGACGAUCCGACGGGUCCCGCAUAUAAAGUGGUUUAUGCGGUCACCCUCACCAGGUGGGGCCUCAACUGUACACAGAUCUCGAUCUCAAUCCCAAUUAAUUUGAUUCUACGGAGUUGGGAGAAAUUAUCGGCCGCACCUGGUGCAUCCGUACACCCGUUUUAUUUUUUAAUUAAUAUUUUCAGAUCUAUUUUGUUUGAUUAAUAAGAAAAGUAUAUAUAUAUAUAUAUAUAUAGAGAGAGAGAGAGAGAGAGAGAGAGAGAGAGAGUGAGUCUGGUUGAGAUACUAUCGAUAGCACCAAGUAUUUGGUGCUAUCAAAUUUUUCGCCGUUAGAUUUAAUCCUUUGACUAUUUUCACCCAUUAGAUUAUACUAAUAAACCAAUAACUCACUUAACCCUAGGGGGCCCACAUCAUCUUAACCGUACGUUUUUUAAUCUAAAGACCGAAAACCUGAUAGCACCAAACGCUUGAUACUAUUGAUAGUAUUCCAGCCUAGGUCUAUAUAUAUAUAUGAGUUCGGCUACUAUGCUAUUAAUAACACGAAACACUUGGUGCUACCAAAUUUUUCGCCGUUAGAUCUACCAUUUUGAUCAUUUUCACCCGUUAGAUCAUAUUAUUCAACCAACCACCUACUCAACACUAGCAAGCCCACAUCAUCCUAACCGCACAUCUCUUAAUCCAAUGGCCAAAAACUUGGUAGCACCAAUACUAGGUGCUAUUAAUACUAUAUUAGCCUAAUUCUAUAUAUAUAAUCAAAAUUAUAAGGUUUUACAUAAAUAUUUUAAAUUUUAUAAAAUACACCCAAUAGAUUAAUUUUUUUUUUAGCUAGAGUUAUUUUUGCAUUUAGCCCUCUCAAAAAAAAAAAUUUACAAAUAAUUUUAAUAAAUUUAUACUUGUAUAUUACAACCCUCUCUUUGCGACGCGAGUGCCAUAUUAGCAUUUUUAAGUUAAACAUGAUAAUUCAAACGCCAUGUUCAUAUCCACAUUCUAAUCUCGCUUUUUAAUCUAGAGACGUUAAAAAAUAUAAAAAGAAAUAUGAUGAUUGAAUCAUCGUGUUCAACAUAAAAAUACAAUCUAAAUGCUCACGUGAUAAGAAAAGAACUAUUUUACAAUUAUAAAUUUAUUAUGAUUAUUUGUAAAAAGAAAAUUGAGGGCCCUUAGCUAUCCGUGGCUCAAUUAUUCCUUUUACAUAAAAUUUUGCUUCUAUUUAAACCCUAUACUUUAGGGUCGUUUCAAAUUGGUCCAAUAAGGGCGAGAUAGUAAUAUUUUUUGAAAGGAGGUGGGACCCGUUGUGGGACCGUUAGUCAAAAUACAAAUCAGGUGAGUCAACUCGGACGAGUUACUAACCAUCAAAUGAGAGUACUUGCAAUUUGCGUUCCACGUCAUCAUGCACGUGGUGUAGAGGAACCAAAAGAAACGAAUUUUAUUUUACAAAAAAAAAUUAUUAAGGUAAGAAUAUAAAAUAUUAUUAUUAUACAUAUAUAACUUCUUUUGAUUAAAAUAUUACUGUCUCUAUCUAAAUUAAUAACUGCUUUAAUAAAAACUUCUUCCAAUAAAAGCCAUUAUGUAAUAGUCCCUCAACUUUAUUUUGGAUUUUUUGUCUAUGUUAUAUUAAUUAGUUAAUCUUAAAUUCUACUAAAUUUACUAUUAUUUCAAUAUUACUUGCUACAAAUUGAUUAGAGAUUUUACAUUCAAUAAAAUCAGCAAUAAAUUUUAAAAAAAAUUUAAGUUAACUAAGUAAAUUACUUAAUUUAGAAAAAAAAUUUAAAAGUCAUGGGGCCGUUUCAGAACCGAUUAUACUUGAGGGGUUCCCCAGACAGUUUCACCAAAAUUUAAAUAGGAAGAUAACGGCUAGUAAAAUCGACGUUAGUGACCAGUGAGUGCACACGCACAGGAAACAGAGGUAAAUCUUAGGGAUAUCAACGGGUCAGAUUCGAAGCAAAAUUUUAAAACUCGAAUCCGACUACCAAAUACGAAAUCCGAAUUUGAAUCCGAAUACGACGGAUUUUAAAAAUUCAUACUCAAACCCCAAACUAACCAAAAAUUCAAAAUUCAAACCCAAGCACGAACCGAAACAAUUUUUUUCUUUACAAUAUUUCGAAAUAUAUUACAUUAAAUCUAUAUUUUAAAAAUAUAAAUUCAAAUAUAAUAUCAAAUAUAUAUAUAUAUAUAUAUAUAUAUAUAUAUAAUAAAAAAUAAUUUUGGAUUCGAAUUGAGUUCGGGUUAGGAUUGGAGUACAAUCUAAAUCCAUAUUUCAAGGCCAAAUCUGCUAGAUUUUCAUUUCUAAUGUCUAUAUCCGAAACUACAUCCAUUUAAUAUCAGAUAAACUCACUCCAUUUGAAUUUAAAUUCAAAUAAAAUUUUGGAUAUCCGUAAGCAUUGAGAUUGCUGGGUAAAACCCAAAACCCUAAUGUGCUUAAGUAAUGGCAAAUAUUGCACACCCAAUAACGUACGCAAAGGGUCCUCCACUUAUUCUUAACGACGUUUCAUCAGAGCCACGUGUUAAAUUCGUCUCCACCCAAAAGUUUCUCGGAUAUUUUUAAUUUUUAAUACUAGAAUCCAAAAGAAUUUAAAACCCAAGAGAGAAGAAUUAUAAUUCUUGGAUAAAAGUAGAAUUAAUACCUAGCAGCAGAUCGGAGAUUCUUCAACGAAACAUCAUUGGAAAAACGAGGAGCUUUCCAACGACCCUUCCAAUGACCCAACGCAUCGUUUAGAAACUACGAUCCGCUGUCAUAUGUCAGUUUUAUUUCAAUUCAAUAAUUAUAAUUCUUACAGACCGUCCCUAGCGCAAAUGGCAAAGGACUUGGUGGUUGACACCCAAGGUCCCAAAUUCGAAUCCUUCUUGAUUCACAUUUUCAUAAAAUAAACGAUAAUUUAAAAAAAAUUAAAAUUUUAAUAUUAAAAGUAAUGAUGGAUUAAGAACUCUCCAACAAAGCGAAGAUGUAGGACUACAUAAGUGAAGUUCCAGAACACACGGAAAUCACUAGAAUAAACUCCACAAUAUUUUUAUAAAAAAAAUAAAAGAAUGGCAUUUUCGUAAUUAUGAACUAGACAAAAACGUAUGGAGACCCUCUCAACUUUAUGCUAUUAUGAAACAGGCCCCUAAACUUUUUUUAAAAAAUUUGACAUCUCUUACACGUUUGCUUUCCUAAAAAAAAAUUAAGUAAUUAAACCAAAACAAUUAAAACUUUUUUUUUCAAUUUUUUUAAUAAUUUAAUCAAAUUUAAUAGUUUUAACCACAAUAUAGCUAAAGAAACUGAAUUAAUCAAGUGAUUACAGCUAAUUAAAAAAGGGUGUAAAUCAAAAGAAAAUUAAAUAAAUAAAGUUGAUUAUGUUCUCCAUACACUUUUACGUUAUAAACUAUUAGUAGAAAUUAGUAAGCAAUAAAUAUCAGGUCUAAUAAAUAUAACCAAACUCACACAUCUACCCCCUUACUCCAUUAGCAUAUUAUAUANAAAUAUUAAAAAAAUGUUUACAAAAACCCCUCAACUAUAGACUAUUUUGAAAUAGUCUCUUAAACUUUUACUUUAAAAAAAAAAAUAAUUAAGACCCUAUCAAUUAAUGAUUAAUAACUAAUAAAAUUAUAAAAACUCAAAUAAGAAAGUUUGGGAGCUGAGGUGGCCUCAAUUAAAAAGAAAAAAAAUUGAUGAGUAAUCUAUUUCAAAAUGGCUUAUAGUUGAGGGAGUCCCCAUGCAUUUUUACUUACACGGAAAGAAAAAUAGAGUGAUUCUUUCUUUCAAGAGAGUAAGGAAAGAGAGGGCUUUCACACUAAACACUUAACCAAGUUGAGGUGCGCAAAAAAAAAAAAAAAGUAGUGAAAACAUAAUAAUAAUAUUUUGGGUGCUAAAUCAUAAAAAAAAAAAACAAUUGAAAAGGAGAUAGAGAGAGAAAAGGGCAAAAAAAAAAAAAGAAAGAAAGAAGAAACGCACCUUCAUCGCCAUUAACCACGGAAAGGAUCCCCAGAACCAGCAGAAAAAUCAGCUCCAUGGAUGGAUCUUCCACUUCACAUGCACUAAAUAGAUGUUUCCGGAGAGGACCCAGAAGCUAAAAGCUUGAUUAAAUCGACUAAAAAGUGGAAAAAGAAGAAGAGGAAGAAGAAGAAGAAGAAGAUGAUGAAAAAGGAAGCUUUUUUACUGGAUUUAACCCCAAAAAAAUGAACAAAUUUGGGGGGGAGUGGAGUGAGUGAGGGGGGGUAUUUGGGGAGAGGAGCAGGGGAUUUUUUUGGGGGUUUAAAUGGGGAGGGGGAGAGAGAGUGAGAAUAAUGGUGGGGAGAAGAGUUAAACAAAAAGGUGUGUCUUUUAUAUAAAGAGAGAGCCAGGAAUAGGAAGAGAGAUUAUUGUGCCUGGGUUGGGUGUACAAGUACAUUCCAUACACCACACUUUAAAUAAAAUCCUUUAUUACUAGUGUUAAACAAAGAAAAGGGUAAAAACAUGGUGAAUUUGCAUAGCAAAUCCACCAGUUUUGAAUUUUUACAAAAUCGGACUGUCUUUUUCGAUUUUACAUAUUCUGUCCGAAUUUUCAACAAACUGAUUAAAAUACCCUUCGACCUUUUUCAUAAUUUUGUAUUAGAAUUUUUGUAUGGACAACAUACGAAAGUUAAACUUUAUAGAAAUAUAUUUGCAAUUCAUUAUAUUUGUAGAGAUCUGUAUAAAAUUAACCCUUUAAUAUUAUACAUUCGACGCUUCUCUUAACGACUCAAUUUGAGGCAUUUUGAUAAGUCUAGGAAGUAAACUUUAAAUAGAGCUGCGAUUUGAAACUUCUCUCUAUUUAUUAGACUAUUUUUAAAUUAUUGCUACUGAUCGGUCUUUUGUUUAACAUGAUAUCAAACCUUAAUAAAGUUUUAAAUUCGAAUCCGGACAAGCACUUCAAAAUCAAAUUUCAAUUUUUUUAGAUUUAUUCAUAAAAUUUAAAAAACUUUUGUUAUAAAAUUUAUAUAUGUUGGACAUGAUUUCCUGCAAACAAAGCAUUCUCUCUCGAUCAUUAACUUUCAGGCCUUGUUUGGAUACAUAAAUAUCUUAUUCAGUAUAUUUCUUUAAUUUAUUUAAAAAAUUUGUACGUUUGAUUAAAUGUUUAAAGUUGAAUGCUAAAUUCCGCCUUUAAUUCUUUCUUUUGAAUAAAAUAAAUUAUUUUAUAAGAAAAAUAUACUAUACUAUCAAAUUACAGAUAGCAAUAUUGAUCUUUAAAGGAGCAAAAAAAUUAAACUCCAAACUUAUAAUCAUGCCAGAAAAUUUUUACAAGGGUCUUUAGAAAUAUAUUUAAAUGGAGAUAAUAAAUAUUAAAAUAUCUAAUUUGGCCAUAUGAGAUCUAUUGAAUAAAAUUUUGAUUGAUGAUAUAAAAUCAUAAAUACUCUGUAGUGUAUGAAGAGUAUUCAUACAUCCGGUGCAGGUAAAGAGGGAAGAGAGAGAGGCAGGGGGUCUUUGUCCUCUUCUCUGCGUGCUUCAGAGAUCGGACGGUGGAGAUGUGUUUAUGAUUGGAUCGUUGGGAGGGGACGAGAUGGGCGAUUGAGUGCUUAUAUAGCGGUUUUUAGGAAUACAAAUGGGGCUGAUCCGGAAGAUGGAGGAUUCUCCCACCUUUCGAUUCAUUUCUUAUUUCGCUUCAUUUUUUAUCGAAAUGAGACGAAUUCGUGGGGAAUUAUUUUUUAUUUUACUUUUAGCUUUCACUUAUUAUUCUAUUUGGGGCGGAUCAGAGCAGGAGCAUAUUCUUGGCAAAUUUUUUACGGAUCGAAAUAGAUUGAAGGAAGAAAAGGUCGCCUUCCGCUCCAUUUAGUUGGCGGAUAAGGAUAGUCGAGAUGGAUUCGGGAAAGGCUAUAUUUUCUUAUAUGUUUUGCUCCCACUUACCGCUCCAUUUAUGACGGAUCAUGACGGGAGUUCCACCAACUCGGAUCCAUUUUGCUCUCUAUUUUAAUAGUUUUAUAAUUAUUUUAUAUCAAAUAAUAGAUUUAAUUUGACCUCAUGAUAUUUCUACAUAGAUUCUUUAGAGGACUCAGUUCUUUCUUCUUUUCUUAGAGAAAGCUUGUAGAUCAUAUUACUAAAUUAUAUAGAAAUAAAUGAGAAUUCUUUUAGGGCAUAUUUCGUUCAUAAUUGAAAUAGAAAUGCAAAAUAAAAUUGAAUUGGUUUGAAAUGAAAAGUGGAAUGACGAGUCAUCCAAAAAUAUUUGGUUCAUUAUUGAAAUAGAAAUCGGAAUGAAAAUUUAAAAUUGUUGAGAGACGGUUUUGAAUAAGAGAGAAAAAAGUGAUGAAAGGCGAUGAGGUAGGUGUCGGUUAAAAAGGGUUUUGAAUAGUUUACUUUUUUUCGUUAAAUCUAUGACAAAGUCAAAACCAUAGGGUAACUUACGUGAAUAUUCGAUAAACUAUGAAUAGGAUGUCUAAAGUUUUUUAUAUAUAAUUUAAUAAAGAGUUAAUGGAGAUGCUUACUAAAAUAGAAAAAUGAAAUUAUAGGAUACUAAAGUAAUACACUUUAAACCACAUAAUACUAAAGUGAGAAAUAAAAUUAUAUAAUUUUGGAGGAAUAUACCAAUGCUUUGGAGGGAAACAAAUAUAAUUAAUGGUUAAUUGCAUACAGCCUUCUAUAAACAUAUCAAAUAGUAGAUGUUUUCCUAUAAAAUUCAACUUUUUAUUUUUGUUCCUCCAAAGUUCAAAAGUCCUAACGUUUUCAAAUAUAUCCCUGUUGUUAGAAUCCGUUAGAAGAAUGUAAUUAACCAGAAGUAUAAUACUUAACCCUUAUUAGUAAAUGAGUUAUUGACUUUUUUACCCCUCUUAUAUUAUUAAGUAAAAUAUUUUUUUGGAGGAUAUUUUUACAUAAUUCUAGCAGUUAGGGCUUUUGGAGGGAUAUAUUUAUAAGGAUAAAAAUGUCAUUUUACUUAUCUACUGUUAAAAAAAGUUGAUUAUCACUGAAAUUUUGUAGGAAUAAAAAUAAAAAGUUAAAUUUUGUAGAAAUAUAUUUGCUAUUUGAUAUGUUCGUAGGGAGCUGUAUGCAAUUAACCUUAUAAUGAAUUAUAAAAAUUAGGGUUAAAUGCAUACAUGUCCCUGCAAACAUAGUGAAUUGCAAAUAUAUUUCUAUAAAGUUCAGCUUUCAUAUGUUGUCUCUGCAAAAAUUCUAAUAUUUUCAAAUAUAUCCCUCUAAUUUAUUACCGUUAUAUAACUAUUUAUAUUUUAUGUAAAAUGUUAUUUUCGUCGUCACAAAUAUGUUCCUCCAAAAGCCACAACAGUAUAAUAUAAGAAGAGCAAAAAUAUCAAGUUAUCUCAUAAACUAACCUGGAUUAAGCAUUUAACUAUGGUUAACUAAAAUUUUCUAACAGAUUCUAACGGCAGGAACAUAUUUAAAAAUAUUAGGACUUUUGCAGAAGUAACAUAUGAAAAUUGAACUUUAUAGGAAUAUAUAUUUGUAAUUUACUAUAUUUGCAAGGACCUGUAUGAAACUAACCCUAAAAAUUAAGCAGAGCUAGCAGUGCACAGGCAUUUUGGUGGACCAGGUGCAGGGGGAAAUCUCUUCUCAAUUUGGGCCUGGGAGAGGGCGUGGGCUUGGGGCAGCGGGAAAUGCUCGCAACCCCACCACCACGGGCGCGAGGUACGAGGAGGGGAGGUGGUGUGGGGCCGGGGAUGACGUGGCGGAUCCGAAGAGGAGCAACGGUCAUAUUUCCUCUUCAUGAUGAUCCCAAUCUAGGGCACGGCUUUUUUCGACUUUUCGAGCUUAAAUUUUAAGCUACAAUUUCGUACUUCUUGUCUCGCUUUUUUAUUUUAUUUUUUAUUUUUUAAAAAAAUUGUUUUUCACCGGGGAUGAAAAUGUCUCUGAUAUUGGGUCUGUUUCUAUCAAAGUAAUAUUGUUAAAAAAAAAAUACUGUAAAAUAUAAUACGGUACUGUAAAAAAAAAAGAAGAAUUAUAGAGUAUUUGAUUAUUUUCGUUUAAUAAAAAUAUUAAAAAUAUCGUCUAUUAUAAAAGGUUGUUUGAUAACAACUUUGUUAAAUUAGUAUAAACUAGUAUAAAGUAUAUAUUUAAACAUAUAAAUUUAAUUUAGUGGUCCAUAGUAAUUUACAAUUAAAAUUAAAAUUUAAAAUUUAAUUUUGAAAAUUAAAAAUUAAUUUUAAAUCUAACUGGAAUUUAAAAUUUGAAUUCAAAUUCACAUUUUUGUAUUUGAAAUAUAAAAUACAAAUAAAUUUGAAUUUGAAUUUGUGUCACGCCCCGGAUUACACGUUUUCCGGGCAUGCCGACAAAUCCGCCAUAUUCAUGUAUACGAAGCGUAGCUGUACAUGUAAAACAUACAAUACUACUACCAGUAGUAUAGAGCUGCUAGGAAACAAAACAUAACCAGAUAGAAAAGAACAGUUCACCAUACAUACAACAUCCAGUAUACAAAAACUCGCCCAGCGAGAUACAGUAUCAACAGUAUGUAUAUGAACUCAAAAACUGCAACUACUUGUAGCUGGUGCUCCGCUAACUCGACGANAUUGUUAAAAUCCAAAACCGGCUUUGGUAUAUUUUUAAUAUAUAAUAUUUCUAUUUAGUUCAUAUUCAGUAAUAUUUUUUUAGAAAUCUUAUAGAGUCCGUUAGGAAAUGCUAUAAAAGUAGUGUAAUUGGAGAAAACAGGAUUUUUUGCUAUAUUAGACAAUUUACGCACGGGUACUUUUUGUAUAAAUUUAAAUAUAGAGUUUAUGAUCCGAAACAAAAUAUGUUUGAUAAAAAAUAAAGAGAAAGACGUAACUAUGUAAGAAAGGGAAAAAGAUAUGUUACUCCGUAAGAAAGGAAAAAAGAUAAAAAAAAAAAGCAAGCAUUUUGAAAUAAAGUAAUAGGGUAUCGAAUUUUAUCAAAUACCAAAUUGUUUUUAAAAAAAAACUAUGUAAACAUUUUAACAAAUCCCAAAAAGGCUCUUAAUUUUUUCCGAUGCUUCUCUAGUCUUGGAUAAAUAUAUAUUGACAAUUUUUUUUUUUCACUAAACAUUCAUUAAUACCUGCUUCGCAUUUAUACCUAUCUAUAUCUAUAUUUAUACCUAUACAUUAAAGAAAUGCCACAUGACUGUGUUUCCUUUACUUUUGGACUUCACAUUACGAAACCAACCCUUCGUCUUCUCUCCAACUCUCCAACUAUAAUGUCUAAUUAAUGGUCUACCCAUCUUAACCCAACCAUUCGUCUUCCCUAUGUAUAAUGUCUAAUUAAUGGUCCACCCAUCUUAACCCAACCAUUCUCCUUUCCUCUGUAUAUAACAUCUAAUUAAUGGUCCACCCAUCUUAACCCAACUCUUCGCCUUCCCUCCGCACAUAACAUCUAAUUAAUAGUCCACCUAGCUUAACCCUAAUUUAAAUUGUAAAUCAUAGAAACCAACGCAAAAUCUCCCUUCUCUCCUCUGCUUUCUCUUCCUCCUCCAUGGACUCUGAGGCUAAGAUCGAGCACGUGAUGUGGAUGGACGAUGAGUUUGCACGCUGCCGAACAAAUCGAGUCUUUCUCCAAAUUUCAGGAGUUCUUUUUAAAGUUUUACAUAUUCUUUAUGUUGUAGUGUUGAAAUUUCUUAAAUAGCUUUAUUCAGUUUUUUCAAGUUUUUUUUUAUUUGCAUGGUAUUCAAACUGAUGUGUUUAUUAUGUUGAAAUUUUAUUACUUUUUAUUUUUCUAUUCUUUGUUUUUUUACAUUUUUUUUUCAAAAGUAAAAUUUUGUAUUAUAACCGACUGUCCCUAGAGCAAGUGGUAAAGGGCUUAGUGGCUGGUACCCGAGACCCAAGUUCGAAUUCUAGUUGAUUCACAUUUCUAGUUAAGUUUAUUUCUAAAUGAAAUAAACGAAGCGGGUAGCGUGCUACCUAUCUCUCAAAAAAAAAAUUUAUAUUAUAUUUGCUGUAUUAGGUUGUAUUAGGUUGUAUAUCUUUUUGUCUCUUAAAAAUUUAUUGUAUAACUUUUCAUAUGCUUACUCUUUUUGUACUUUCAGGACUCUUUUUAUUAACUGAUGUAAGGAUAUUUAUAAAAUUAGAUUUAUAUGUAAUCUAAAAAGAUUUUUAUUUUCUUGAAAGGAUAAGUAUCAUUACUUAUAUAGAAAAUAAAGGGAUAGAUAUAUAGUUUAUACAAAAAAGCUUAACCCUUUGAUUGUUUUGAUUUAUAAAAUAUUAAUUUUUAUUGAAUUUUUUAUCUAAAUCUCUUUCAAAUAGUAUGUCACUUUUCGGCUCAAUAGGUUGACAUACUUAUUAUCUUUUUAUAAACAUUUUGUUACUAAUCGGCUUCGGCAGAUUAAUAUAUUUUUGCAAGAAGCCACUAUGUUUGGAUUAUUUUGAUUUUUAAAAUAAUAGUAAUUUUUUGAUACAUUAGUUAGACAUUAAAUUUAUUUUAGUAGUUGAGGCUUAUACAAAUAUAGCUAAUAAUAAUAAUGCUAAUAAUAAUAGUAAAAAGCUAGGAUUAAUUGUAUAUCACAUUAUCACGAGAUAAUUUUUUCACAUAAAAACAUUCAAAUAACAAAAGUAGAUAUUAAAAAUAGGGGCAAUUGCUUAUAUACCCCUGAAAUGUUUCUGAUUUUUUUAACUGUUGUAGAUAUUUAACUCACGUUUAACAUAAGUUAACUUAACGGAUGGUAACUGUAGGGGUAUUUUGGAAUAACGGAGGAACAUAUGAGAGGUAUAUUGGAAAGAAAAAAAAAAGUAAAUAAAAUAUUUUCGAAGUUUUGAAGGGUAUAUUGGAAAUUAU
rnacentral:lncRNA from 1 species